AAAAACCAGAAACCCUCUUAUUUUCCUCUCAAACUUCUGACUCUUGGGGUUCUGUUCGCGCCGCCGUAGCGCUCGCCGCACCGCCACCGUUUCCGACGGCCGAUGAAGGGUCAGAACGGGCGUUCGAAGCCCUGGCCGGUGAGUUUUUCUUUUUCCCUAUUGUAUUACAUAUAUAUGCGAAUAAAUAAACAGAGAAUAACAAACAUAGAAAAAUAAAACAACUAGGAAAACAAAAAUGAAAAAUAACGGCAAUCCUCUUGAAUCUUUUUUUUAUUUUCUGUUUUAAUCUAUUUUUGUUACAAAUGUUGAAAAAAAGAAAAGAAAAAGAAAAAGAACCCCCCGAUUACAGUGAUUUUUGCCUUACAAAAAUUGCCCCAUUAUUACAAAUCUGUGCUUGGCUUUUAUAUAGCCAAAGAGAAAAGAAAGAAACAUCAAAAGAGCUAUUGUCCAUAUUGCUUCUUUCUAUUUUCUGUCUCUGUUUCCUUUUCGUGUUUGCAGGCAUUGACGGAGACGUAUCAGCGAACAGGUGGAGCAGAGGGCAGGUAUGGCAGCAGCGUACGGCGCACAUGGGAGCAGCAAGGGAUGCGGCGCCCUAGGUUUGGGGAUUAGGGUUUUUUUGCUGAAAUGUUUUAGGUGAUUGGGCCAUUGGGCUUGCUAUUNNNNNNNNNNNNNNNNNNNNNNNNNNNNNNNNNNNNNNNNNNNNNNNNNNNNNNNNNNNNNNNNNNNNNNNNNNNNNNNNNNNNNNNNNNNNNNNNNNNNNNNNNNNNNNNNNNNNNNNNNNNNNNNNNNNNNNNNNNNNNNNNNNNNNNNNNNNNNNNNNNNNNNNNNNNNNNNNNNNNNNNNNNNNNNNNNNNNNNNNNNNNNNNNNNNNNNNNNNNNNNNNNNNNNNNNNNNNNNNNNNNNNNNNNNNNNNNNNNNNNNNNNNNNNNNNNNNNNNNNNNNNNNNNNNNNNNNNNNNNNNNNNNNNNNNNNNNNNNNNNNNNNNNNNNNNNNNNNNNNNNNNNNNNNNNNNNNNNNNNNNNNNNNNNNNNNNNNNNNNNNNNNNNNNNNNNNNNNNNNNNNNNNNNNNNNNNNNNNNNNNNNNNNNNNNNNNNNNNNNNNNNNNNNNNNNNNNNNNNNNNNNNNNNNNNNNNNNNNNNNNNNNNNNNNNNNNNNNNNNNNNNNNNNNNNNNNNNNNNNNNNNNNNNNNNNNNNNNNNNNNNNNNNNNNNNNNNNNNNNNNNNNNNNNNNNNNNNNNNNNNNNNNNNNNNNNNNNNNNNNNNNNNNNNNNNNNNNNNNNNNNNNNNNNNNNNNNNNNNNNNNNNNNNNNNNNNNNNNNNNNNNNNNNNNNNNNNNNNNNNNNNNNNNNNNNNNNNNNNNNNNNNNNNNNNNNNNNNNNNNNNNNNNNNNNNNNNNNNNNNNNNNNNNNNNNNNNNNNNNNNNNNNNNNNNNNNNNNNNNNNNNNNNNNNNNNNNNNNNNNNNNNNNNNNNNNNNNNNNNNNNNNNNNNNNNNNNNNNNNNNNNNNNNNNNNNNNNNNNNNNNNNNNNNNNNNNNNNNNNNNNNNNNNNNNNNNNNNNNNNNNNNNNNNNNNNNNNNNNNNNNNNNNNNNNNNNNNNNNNNNNNNNNNNNNNNNNNNNNNNNNNNNNNNNNNNNNNNNNNNNNNNNNNNNNNNNNNNNNNNNNNNNNNNNNNNNNNNNNNNNNNNNNNNNNNNNNNNNNNNNNNNNNNNNNNNNNNNNNNNNNNNNNNNNNNNNNNNNNNNNNNNNNNNNNNNNNNNNNNNNNNNNNNNNNNNNNNNNNNNNNNNNNNNNNNNNNNNNNNNNNNNNNNNNNNNNNNNNNNNNNNNNNNNNNNNNNNNNNNNNNNNNNNNNNNNNNNNNNNNNNNNNNNNNNNNNNNNNNNNNNNNNNNNNNNNNNNNNNNNNNNNNNNNNNNNNNNNNNNNNNNNNNNNNNNNNNNNNNNNNNNNNNNNNNNNNNNNNNNNNNNNNNNNNNNNNNNNNNNNNNNNNNNNNNNNNNNNNNNNNNNNNNNNNNNNNNNNNNNNNNNNNNNNNNNNNNNNNNNNNNNNNNNNNNNNNNNNNNNNNNNNNNNNNNNNNNNNNNNNNNNNNNNNNNNNNNNNNNNNNNNNNNNNNNNNNNNNNNNNNNNNNNNNNNNNNNNNNNNNNNNNNNNNNNNNNNNNNNNNNNNNNNNNNNNNNNNNNNNNNNNNNNNNNNNNNNNNNNNNNNNNNNNNNNNNNNNNNNNNNNNNNNNNNNNNNNNNNNNNNNNNNNNNNNNNNNNNNNNNNNNNNNNNNNNNNNNNNNNNNNNNNNNNNNNNNNNNNNNNNNNNNNNNNNNNNNNNNNNNNNNNNNNNNNNNNNNNNNNNNNNNNNNNNCUAUAGGAGUCAAAGAUUAUUAAUUAAUUUUAGAGUAACUUACAUAGUUAGUUAUUAAACUAUAAAUAAAUUUUUGUUUUGUUCACUUACAAUUUAGUCAUUGAACUAUUUAAAUUUUUUCGUUUAAGUCACUGGACUAUUAAAAUCGAUAUUAUAUGAUUUUCUCUAUUUGCACUAUCUGCACCAAUUAAAAGCUCUUUUUACAUAACUAACUUUGGAUAUCAUGAAUUCGUGAAUUAAAAAUUCAAAUAGCUUAUUUCUCUGAUCUCCGACACUGACCGUCAGAUUGACUUAAAUCUAAGGUAUAUCUUUUUACUUAUCGAUGGCUAUCGACCCAUCAUACUGAUUGUCGAAUCGUCACUUAAAACUCGCUNNNNNNNNNNNNNNNNNNNNNNNNNNNNNNNNNNNNNNNNNNNNNNNNNNNNNNNNNNNNNNNNNNNNNNNNNNNNNNNNNNNNNNNNNNNNNNNNNNNNNNNNNNNNNNNNNNNNNNNNNNNNNNNNNNNNNNNNNNNNNNNNNNNNNNNNNNNNNNNNNNNNNNNNNNNNNNNNNNNNNNNNNNNNNNNNNNNNNNNNNNNNNNNNNNNNNNUAUUUUUAUUUAUUUAUAAUAAUUUGUAAAAACCCAUAUAAAACCAAUCAAAAAUAGAUAUAUUUUGUUAACAAAAUUCUAUCACAUUUUUCACAAUGCUGAAACUAGAAUUACCUCUAUUAUCAAGCCUCAUCCUCAUCUUCCUUCUGUUUCUAUGUCCCCAAUCUUCCAUCUCCAGGACCCUGACCAAGCGCUGCGGCGUUACUCAGUGUGGAAACGUUAACAUCAGCCACCCUUUUCGCUUAAAAACUCAGCCGCCGGAGUGCGGCGACCGCCGCUUCGAACUCGACUGCGAAGCCGAUAUCAACCAACUCACGUUCUACAGGCGAUAUAAUAAAUUCCAAGUCCAUGAAAUCUUUUACGAAAAUUCAACACUUACAGUUUCGUAUCAAAAUCAGGUCACCGGUAAUUGCUCUCUUCCACCGACCGGUCGAUUCAACGAAGAUUUUUUCUUUUGUGAGAAGCUUCUCUUCCCGGCAUGGCUCAUUGACGAUGAAAAACUUAGGGACCGAUAUAGAUUUUUGUAUAUUGUGAAUUGCACAUCGCCGGUAAAUUCAUCGAUCUAUGUCGCUGCCGACCGGUGCCGGAAUAGGUCGUCAGAUUCGUUUCCGACGGGUUCCUUCUUUUAUUUCUUAGAUUGGGACACCACUUUCCCUCGCGAUUUCGAUCAGUCCUGCACAGUCGUCGCCGAUUGGAUUCCGAUUAAGGGUAAGAAGAAUAUCACAGCCCUUUCUACUGCGGAAAUCUACGAAAAGCUAUCAAUGGGGUUCGAGUUGACCUGGUCCAAUCCACAGGGCCAAGAUCUCUGCUCAGGCAAGCUUUCAUUUACUCAAAUGUGAGACAUUUUAAACUUCUCUUUUUCCUGCUAUCACUCAAUUAUAAAAAAUAAUUACAAAAAUAAUAACCCAUCUAUUAAAUUUAUCAUACGAAUUUUAAAAGCAACCACUUAAUUUUUUAAAGAUUUUUGGAAAAGUACAUUUUUUAAAGUUUAUAUAUAUAAACUAAAUUUUAUGUGAUAUAAAUUUUUUAUAUUUUUUUAUAAAUAAAUUUAAAUAAAAAUUAUUACCAAAUAAAAACUUAAGACAAAUCAACUUAAUUUAAAAAAAAUCAAUUAUAUAAUCUAAAUAGGUUGAGUUGAAUCAUAUCAUUUAAAAAGCUUCUAUUGCAAAAAAAUUAUAAUGAAAGAUCGUAAUUAUUACAAGUAUGGAUGCAUUUUUUAUUAACUUAUAUUUAUCAUUAUUUUAGACAAAAAAAUGAAUAUUAUUUUGCUAAUUCAUUAUUUAAAUCUCUAAUACAUAAUUUACCCCUAAAUUAUCUUCUUCUUCUAUUGUUUCUAGAUUGGCGAAGGUUCGAGACGCCCUAAUAGACUACCUGAACAGCUUUACAUAUUACAUUAUCCAUCGCCCGCUUAUAUCCGCUUUCAAUGGUUUUCCACCUGAAACUGAUAGUAAGCUUUCUCCAUCUCUUUAUGUAUUACUUUUUUUAUUGUCUUUAUAAUUCAUUAUUAUGAAGUUAUUGUUCGAGCAUCAUGUUGAUAAUACACGAAUGUAUUAUCGUCUUUAAAUGUUAUUGUACUGAAGAACGAGAUUGAUGCACUCUCAAAGUUUUGUCCCUGGCUCUGAAGAUAAUUUAGAAUUGCCUCUUGAUAACUGAACAUACGAGUCCAUUACCAUUGAAGAGUUUUGCGUGAUAGCAUGGUUUUGCUUCUUCAGAUAUUAAGAAACAUUCGUAAAUUCUUUUCAGAGUCAAGAGACAAAAUUUGAGGGUAUAUCGUUCUUCAAUAAUCACUUUUUAAUAUAACGAUCUACAAUACUUUUGUUUAUGUACAUAUAAUUAUAUGUUUUUUUUUCAGGGACAUAUAUCAUGUGUAUCGGAAUAACAGGUAUGUUUUUAAAUAUAAAUAUAAAUUGAAAAAAUUUAAAUAUUUUCUAAGAUAUAGACUAAUGUAAUUUUCUUUUUUGGAAAAAGGGGGAGUGAUUCUAUUAAGAAUGUUGGUGGGGAUUUUCAUCUUGAUUGUGGUUGUUACAAUCAAAUUCCGAAGGAGACAUUUAUCCGCUGAUGAUACAAUUGAAGAGUUUCUUCAAAGUCAAAAUAAUUUAAUGCCUAUCAGAUAUUCUUAUUAUGAAGUGAAGAAAAUGACGAGAGAUUUCAAAGAUAAGCUAGGUGAGGGGGGUUAUGGCUCGGUGUUUAAAGGGAAGCUUCGUAGCAAUCAUCUUGUGGCGAUAAAAUUGUUGGGUAAUGUAAAAGGUAAUGGACAAGAUUUCAUUAAUGAAGUUGCUACACUCGGAAGGAUUCAUCAUGUUAAUGUGGCGAAACUUAUUGGAUUUUGUGUGGAGGGAACAAAACAAGCACUUGUUUACGAUUUUAUGCCGAAUGGAUCUCUAGAUAGAAUCGUAUUUGGCAAAGAUGAUAAAGCACUUCUAAGUUGGCAAAAAAUGUUUGAUAUUGCACACGGGAUUGCUCGAGGGAUAGAAUACUUGCAUCAAGGAUGUGAUAUGCAGAUUUUACAUUUUGAUAUCAAGCCACACAAUAUUCUUUUAGAUGAGAACUUUACACCCAAAGUUUCGGAUUUCGGUCUUGCUAAACUAUAUUCUGUAGAUGAUAGCAUUGUAUCACUAACUGCAGCACGAGGUACAAUUGGAUACAUUGCUCCUGAACUAAUCUACAAAAACCUCGGAGGCAUCUCGUAUAAAGCCGAUGUUUAUAGCUUCGGAAUGUUAUUAAUGGAAAUUGUUGGAAGGAGGAAGAAUAUGAAUGCAUUGGUCGAACAAACAAGUCAAACAUACUUCCCAUCAUGGAUUUACGACCGAUAUCAUCGAGGAGAAGAUAUAGAUUUGAAAGAUGUAACGGAUGAUGAAAAGAUUAUUGUGAAAAAGAUGGUGAUCACAGCUUCUUGGUGCAUACAAAUCAAGCCAAGCGAACGUCCUUCAAUGAGCAAAGUCUUGGAGAUGUUUGAAACUGAUGUCACGCUUCUCCAAAUGCCUCCGAGACCUUUUCAACUUCCUUUUGAAGUAUCGACUAAGGAUCAAUCCUAUGAUAAUUCAACCAAUUCAGCCGAAGAUCGAUCACAUGGCACUACAACUACAGGGACAUCUAAGUUUCCUUCUUCUUCUUCUUCAAAGGAAUCUAGCUUAAAUAUUAUGUAACCCAUCAAACUUUAAUUAUUGCAAUAUAUUAGAUCUGAUUAUAUUUAUACAAGCGUCUUAUCUCGUACAUCGAGUUUUAAUUUAAUUAGUAUCAUUAUUGUUACAAUAAUUAAGAGAGUGUGGAUUUAAAUGCACUUAAGCGUAUUUUUUUUCGAAUUAAAUAUUUAAAAAAGUAUGAGUAUAUGCAAGCAUUGUAUUAAAAAAGUUAUCAUGUUCAUUACAAAACAAAGUCAAAUUAUAAGAUUAAUCAAGGGUUAAUAGGAUAAAAUGAGUUUGAACUAUGGUCUAUAUUUUAGAUUGAUCCCCUAAUCUUAAAACAUUUUAAUUGAGUUAUUAAAAUAUUGGUAUCGUAUCAAUCAAGUACUUUUAUAAACUAAUCAUUAGAUUGGGUGUUAAGUGCUUGCUCAAAUUCGAUCUAAAAUAUAUUUAAAAUACAUAGACUAGAUUGUAAUUGUAAAUACAUGCACCUAUUGCAUAAAUAACUUGGGUUUGAUGGAUUUUUUAAAAAAAAUAACCUUCCUAUAUUUUAUUGACAAUAUAUGUUUUUAAACUUAUCAUAUCCAAAUUGUUUAUGGCGUAGAUACAUAUGUUUCAAUUUGAUUCACAAGUUUUAAAUAUAAUCAAGCCGUUUGUUCUUAUUUAUAAAUAGAUAACCAAACAUGUUUAGGCCCACCCAUAUUAUAUUUUAUUUUUUAGUAUAAUUAUUACCAUGCUAUUUCUUUCUUUUAUUAAUUUUCUAAACAUAAAAAAUUUAACAUUAUAUAAAUUACAUAAUAUUUAAAAAGAUAUUAUAAACUUCAAAAUGAAUUAAACUCAAGUUUUGAAUAUUAGAACUUUAACUUAACUCAUAUUUUAAACGGGAUUGAUUAUUUUAUCCAAGCUCCUUUUUAUUCUAAUAUUUUUUAUCUCAACCCUCUCAAGUUAUGAGCAAGUUUUUGGACUUAUUCAAAUAGCCUGACCUAAUAAGUCUAAUUUGAAUUGACAUUUACUAUUUAAAUUGAUUACCAAAUUGAUGAAAAGACGUAUUAAUAUAAUGCUAAUAUUUUUAUCUCAACUCUCUCGUACACUUAUUGGUAUUAGUUCGAAGCAUGUUACCUCCAAUAUCGUAUAAAAAUACUUUAAAAAAGAAUAUUUAAAUAAUUAAGGAUUAUUAGUAAUUAAUAAAAUGGAGGACUUUUCUCAUAUAAAACUAUUUUAACUUGACAAUGUUUUCAACUUAGACAUGUGUGUGACUAUAUUUAAAAAAAAAAAAAAGGAAAAAAGUGUGCUCACAUUGGCUUCUAUUUUCAAAGGAGAAGACUUUAGGACAAGAAAAUAAUUAAAAGGGAAGAAGACACUCAAUUGCGGCAACUGUGCUCACGUUCACAUUGCCUUCCAUUUUCAAAGCGCUACGUUUCAUUAUGGAAAUACCCAAAAACAAGACACCGUGAAAUUUAACUUUUAGAUAUUAUGUUGACAUUCAAAAUUUGUAUAGAUUUUGAUUGGUAUGAAUAUCAUUAUCAAUGUAAGAAGAUUUAAGUUUGAAUGUAUUAAAGUACAUUAUCCUCUUAUUUACGGGUUGAAAUGAUCUAUAUCUAAUUUUUUAUAUUGUGUCAAAAAGAACAGAUGUAAUCAAAAUCUAUAAUAAAAUUAUUCAAAAAAAAUCAAUUUUUUUAAAAAAUAAGUUAAAUCUUAUUAAAUUAUAUAAUUUAUGAUAGUUUUUGUAAUAUUUUAUAUAUACACAAAUAUACAAAAUAUUAAAGUAAACUAUUUAAUUAGUCAUCCAAUUUUUAAGACGUUUACCUAAAAUGAAAUUCUCGCAAUUUCGUCAUCUAAUUUUAGGGUAUUUUCAUUCUAAUUACUCAAACAUUAAACAUCAAACAAUAGUUGUUGACUAUACACGCCAUAUCACAUUUACCUUUUCAUCUUGAUCACCUAACUUCUAAAUCGUUUUUAUUUUAAUUAUAAAAAAAUAUUUUUUUUUAAAUAUUGAUCAGAGUAAAAAAUUACUCAAGAUUAAAGUAAAAAAGUAAAAAAGAAAUAAAAAUAUAUAAUAAUGCAUUGUCAAUAUAUACUUAUUUACUCCUUUUAAUUUUUUAUAUUAAAAUCUUAAAUUUCAAAACAUCAAAAUCAAUUAAAUAAAUUAUUAAGAAAAUUAUCCCUAAAUAGUAUAACCAAAUUGAUAUUAUGAUAUUGAAAUUAAUUAAUUAAUUUAAUCUCUUAAAUUUAUGUUUUCAAAUUAAAAUUAACUCAAAUGUGACAUUUUUUCUGUAAAAAAAUUAAAUAUUUCCAUAGACAAUGCAUACCCGUACCCAAUAUUCGAGAGUCAGAGUCACAUGGCAAGAAAUAACACAAAAAAGAGCCCAAGAGAAGUGCUUGCCCUAUUCAAUCUUUCAAAAGAGAACAAACAUUUUCAGUAUUCCUUUACUUUGCAUCUUUUGAUGUGAUCAACAAAGCAUUGAAAACAAAAAUGGAGUAAAACAAUUAUCAGUAGGAAUUUCCAUGAACUAGUAGGGUUCAUAAUUAGCAGUUCUAUCAAGACUAUUUUUCGGGUUGUUCCCGUAUUUUACAAACAAGCCAUAGUCACUGGCUAAAGAAAAUUCGGACAACGAAUCACUAACCUGUUCCAGGUUCUCGUGAUACCCAAAGUCGGGUUGCAUAGAUGAGUAUGAAUCGUAAACAUAACCUGUCUCCUCUAACGCAAACCGAGUAUAGGGUCUACUAGUAGAAAACAUUCUACAAGAAACCGUGUUGUAAGAGGAGGAUUCCGGUGUUGAUAAGUUAUUGAAGAUUGAGAACGUAUCUCCAUUGCUUGCAUCAGCAUAAUCUACGGUACUGAAUGAGUCUCUAGCACUCUCCGUUGUGAAAGAUGCCUCGUCUGAGCUUGUGAAAAGGGACCAAUCACUUGAUGUAGCAUCGGAGAACUCCAUGUUAAUAGGAUCAGGAAUGUUACCAUUUGUGCUCUGCCUAAGAAUGUCAUUACCAUUGUGGUUGUAACAACCGGUUGCAGUUCUGGGACUGAAAUCUGAUACAUGCUUGGGGCCAACAGAGCAGUUGCCAGAUUUACUUUGUGCUGCUCGUGAAGGCCUCUCGGUUUUUGAUACGAGGUGCCUAGUAGGAACUUGCUUCCGUAUGCUCUUUUCAGUGAAUUCUCUUUGAAGACGAGGACAUGACCUUUGGAAGAAUCAUAUAAUUUCAAGAGAUAGAAAAGAGCAUCAAUACAGAAACCAAAAGUAAGAUUCAACACGACAAAGAUAUUAUAGCAACAAAACUGACUGGAGUUUCAACAUUUAAAGCCGCAACAUUACAUAACUUAUAUGUUAUCCACAUAGAAGAUUGGUGAUAAUUAAGAUGCAAGAAAUUGCUAAGAAGUAACAUUGUAAGGCAAUAUCGACAAAAUCUAGCCGGCUACAUGGCUAGAAAACCGAGUAAGGGAAAAGGGAAUAAAAAUAAGGGAGAAAACACGGAAAGGAAGAUGGGUGUCUACCUCAUGUAAAAUAAGAUGUAUGCGCCCUCAGACAUCACCUGGCUCAUUGAGACUGGACAUACCUGUAAAUGAAAAGGGAAUCAAAACCGUAUUUCAAUACGGUUGCAAUGAAAAAGAAUCCGGACAAAAUAGCUAGAACUUACAUAUUUAAAAAAAUGCAAACAAUCGUGUUAACUCAUGAAAUAUACAACAUGCUGACAAAUGUUCAUGGAAUAACAGAACGAAAGCUAUAGUUCGAAUAAACAAUCACUGGCUAUCUUUUAUACCUCAGUAUCAUCUAUCCUGAACCAGUUGCCUCGCAAAUCUUUUACGUAUGACACAUAAUGUCCUGAAAAAGAUGCAUUCAGGGUAUCCAAAUGCACCACAACAGCAUAAAGCAUGUAAAGUGGGGGGAUGUCACCUGUUCCAGUCAUAAAAGGAACCAUGUCGAGCAUGUCGGGGAAAGUGAUACACUUGUUUAUUUUCCCAUAUUUUCCCUCCUGAUUAAGCAACAGCCAUAUCAAAAAAUAGUCAUCAAAUAACAAACAAACCAAAAAGCAGUUUUAGCAAAUACUUCAAGUCAACAGAUACGGAGACAGGAAUGCGAGACUUGGAAGGUCAUAUUCCCAUAACCAUACGGAUAUUUCAAGAAAAAUGAGAAGUCGGAGCAACAUAGCAAGUUCUGAGAUAUGCUAUAGCACUUAUAACAUGACAUUAAUAGAGGAGUUGGUAUGGCGUAGAGCGGAAUGGUACCUGAAACCGCUUUAAGACAAUUGUCAGUAUAUUAGGAGCCUCAUCUAUGCACAACUGCUUACGAGCCCGAACAUAACUGGCACACCUGCAGAGCCGAUAAACCAGAAAAAUUCAGAUCUAGUCUAACAAAGGAAUUUUCAAUAACACAAUAAAAUAAGGUUUUCACACCUUCCACACCGGUACAUGUUUUCGCCAUCCAAAUCUUCGGGUGUCGUAAACUGAGUUAGUGCAUCUUCCAAUGAUUCAACCCAACCAUAUAUCUCUAAAGUAAGAUCCAUAAUGUUUUCAUAUCUUUCCGACUCAUGAAAACAUCGUAGACAUUUUACCUGAUUACAUGGAGAUCGAUCAUACAUAUUGUGUAAUAUAAAAGGCUAACAAAGUAAAGUAACUAUAAACACCUUUGAUCGAAGACGCCCACCAAAAGUAUGUUGUAUAAAUGUCGUCUCUUGCAACCUCGGGUCAACCUUGUGUUCCCCACCUAAUCUCUCCAAGCAUAUGGAUUGCAUUGAAGCAACCAGGAGUCUAAUGGACAAGAAAUGAACUUUCAGAGAGCCAAGGAGAUGAAAUUUUCAUUCUCAUGAUAAACACGUAAAAACAUGAAGCAAAACUCAAAAAUCUCGACACAUAAUGAGGGGGAAAAUUAAGGGUUUGGGGGGAUAUUGGAUAUUGAAUCAUGUAAACCUCAAGAACUCAUGUGCAUCUUCCUGGCUUCCAUCACCCAUCUGACAAUUAAUACUUCGGAUGUGCGAAAGGAUCCUAGUAGAAGACAAGGGGCCCCCACUCUCUCUUAACAACAUCACAUGUUGUUCAAGCUCACACAUAAGACACCAAUCUUUCCCAUAACCUACAAUGAAUUAAAAAGUUAUGCUAUGCAUGUGGCCAAACAGUGACAUCAUUCUCAUGUACAAAUAACAAACAAGUGAACAUAAAAAUUUUAAAAAAAAAGUACAGGCUCUUGAAUGUGAUUGACGCAGCAAAUAGAUGCUGAGAGGCUUUGUGCAGGUUAAACACUGCAGAACAGCAUUGGCAUAACAACUGCAAAAUAAAAACAACAAUCAAUCCUUAAAACAUUAGCUCCUAUUAUUUUAUGUACUUACGAACAAGCCAUCCAUUUAAGGAAACUCCAAAAAACGCAUCCCCGGAUUACAAGUAGAACUAUUGAAUCGCGAAGUUUAGGUAAUGAACUACAAAUACUUUGUAAUUAACAAUCAAGAAUAAGUAUAGCACGCUUAAACUAUAAGUCAAUCAUCAUUAUUUCUUUCUUUUUGUUAAUAGGAACAUAUAUAUCCUACACGUCAUGUUGCUCGGACUCAGGUGAGUGUGUUAGAUGAGGAAUGUGUCCAACAUGAGUAUCUGCAUUUCUAUGUUUUUACAUGUAAUUGAUGGUCCUACAACACAUGUAUUUGAAGUAUCCAUAAUCAUGUCCAUAUAUGUGCCGAGCAUGGAUGCUUUCAAGAAAAAUGAAGACCAUACUCCAAGUAAUAUUGCAGAUAUGGUAGAAAAUAGGACCAUAAAGCAAUAACAUUGAUACCUGUUCCCUAUAUUUAGAAGUCCCCUUGGUGAUAAGUCGAAGGCUUCACACUGGAAAAAUUUUACAAAUUCUUCAUAAGGAAACAGCGUCUGAGACGGCACAAUAACGGAUCAUAGUCAGAGUUUUCCUUUCACAAUUCAAGAGCCAAAUGAAACUAAAAGGGAUGCAAUAGAUAUUGACCAUAUAUAAACAUAAAGAAAGUAUGAAACUGACCUUUAUUUUCUUCCGUCUCUCGCCACAAAGCACAGAAAAACUGCUCCUGGCAGGCUUUGUUGACUUCUUUAAACCCAUCAUCUCCAUAAUUCCACCGCUAGCUGCCCCAUUGGUUCCUUGUGCCGGAAUGGCACCCGCCAUUCCCGAAACUUCUGCAUGAAAAUCGUAAAACUAUGAAAAAUUACAUUAAAAAAGGCUUAAAUAUCAAGAAAGAAGAGCCAAAAUAUUACUUAAUUCAUUUGGAAUUUGUCCCUUCCUCCCCAUUUCCGGACAUAAUUGUUCUCCGGGCACUUUCGCUGCUAAUUUAGGUGAUUUAGAGAUUUUGGGUCCUAAUAAUUGUUCUCCGGGCACUUUCGCUGCUAAUUUAGGUGAUUUAGAGAUUUUGGGUCCUAAGGAAUGCACCGAACUUCUAGCUUUUGUGCAUUCCUUCACGGCUGUCAUCCCAGAACAGUCUAAUUCUACUGAUUCGCCACUAUAACCAUUUUCCCGAUUGACUAAAUUCUCUGAACUCUGGAAUAAUGCAUUUUCAGCUUCACGUGCACUCAGACCAUCUUUUGCAGAAUAUGGUGGGCAGGAAAAUUUAUAGUUGCUUUUUGGUUCAGACUUAUUUCCGCAUUGGCUUUGAUGUUUAUGAUUCUCAUGCAUGACCAUACUUGCAUUUUGUCUCUGAGUAUGCAUAGUUGAGCCAUUGGCAUUUUGUGGCCUUAACAUACCCUCUUCCGAUUCGACAAAUCCACUAGUUCUCAACUGCAGCAGUAGCUCGAUGUUACUAAACUACAUAUUAUUAAAUAAAAGAUAAAAUGUUCUAGGUAAAAAGAAUAAAGAUAAGAACCUUAUGCCUUAUAAAAGCCUCUUUCAAAGAAAUAUUAUUAGAUGCCGAACUACUAGCUCUAGUCCUUGAGGUUUCCUCACAAGAAUCAAAUAUAGUUGCAUCCUCUCUUUGCAACAUGUCUUUGUUGGAUUUACAAGGAAUUCUCUUCUCUGUACUUCUCAUAUCAGCCAGACUGUCUUGAGAGGAAUCAACCGUAGAACAAUCCCUGUUAGCAAAUACAACAGUGGUUAAUGGACAAAUAUUUGUAUGAUCUAAAGGUGCUGUUUUGAUGAUAGCCUGCUUAUUAAUGUACCCAAAGAACUGUGAAUUCAUGUUGUCACCGAGUAGUGCAGAUUCUCCAAACGAGGCAACACUAGGAGAUGAACUUGAGCUUGUAUUCUCUAACUGCAGGCAUUCUUGCUUAUGUACUUGCCUCCAAUGAAUAAUCUGGCACCUCCCAGAACUGCAUAAAAUCGUCCGUUUAAAAUUGAGAAAUAUCAUGAUGAAAGGGAUAAUAAAGGUCAAGGUUAUAUAUAUGGAAAAAGUGAGAGAUCAACUUGAUGAGAGCUUGCGGAAAAUCCAGCAAUCUAUUAUGACAUACGGUUGGGCAGCAAAGAGCAAAAGAUUUCAACAGAUGGUUGUUCCUAACAUAUAUUAUUACAAGUUUAUUUUAUUAAGACUUCAAUGUCAUCUUCUGGAACUCUUCCCUCCCUUCUUUUCCCCUUAUCUCCACUCACCUCGUUUAUGGAGCACUAAUAAUAGGCUAGGUUAUUAAUCCGAAAUGACAAAAGAAUGUUUAGGAAGAGCAGGAAACCAAGCAAGCCUCCGAAGAAAGCCAGAAAAAAAUGCUCAUGGAAAUUAGAAUGAAUUGGGAAAGAAAUUAAAUCAACAAGAAAUUUCAGCAAAGUUUCAACAAUCAAGUGGUUUGUCAGUAGAAUGCUAGACUUUAGUUCUGAUGAUCAAGGUUCAACCCCUAACAACCUAUUGCAUCCAAAAAACUUUCAACAAUCAAAUCAAUAACAAAUAAAUCAACCCAUAAUGCUUUGUUCAAAAUAAUCAACCCAUAACAACAAGAACAUUUUAUCAUCGAUGAAAUCUAGCUUAGUCGUGGAUUUUUAUUCCGAAAUGCUGCUAUUAGCAUUAAUUCCAUAUUUUAAAAACAUUCAACAACAACAAUAAUACAUUGCAGCAGCUAAGGGAUAGAAUAUACCAAUAUUUGACAGCCUUGCAUCUCGAGCAGCGAGUUGUCGCAGGACCAAAGCACCAGGCACAUGCAUGUAAUCCAUUCUUUGAAGAAGGAACAAGCGGAAUAACACUGGCAGCAGCCAUUGUUUCAGCUCUAAGAGCUUCUUCGGCAGCAAGCUGAGCAAGUAAACUUAUCUGUUCUUGUUUCUUUGAAGCCUCACUCCAUUUCCCGAGUAAGAAGUAAGCAACAAGAGGAAGCACCACCAAGACCAGAAACAACGCAGGUAUAUCAGCUUCCCUUGGCUCGAGCAUGUCUCCUCAAGCAUUCUCAUAUCCAAUACAGGCUUCACUAUCCGGAAGAUAUCCUUAAAAUGCUACAUAAGUCCAGUGGAACAAACAUCCACACCAGCAACUUAAAUUACAACACAAGAAUCAUGCUAUGCCACUUCACCCUAUCAAAAUUUCAAGUCAUUAGGUAAUGCCAUAAGAUUGAUGUACUAAAUAUUUCACCAUCAAUAAGGAGUUAUAAUCAAUAUUUUCACUAACGCAUAAAGAGAGUAGCUUGACAUUCUGGUUUGUAUAUUCUGCAACAAGUUGUGGUAAAAAACGAAAGCAGAUUGCUUCUUUCAAGACUUUAGGUAGAAUAUAAGAAAAAGUUCAGGCAUGAGUAUCGAAUAUGUCUCCAGCACAAGUAUGUUUUACUUUCUUUCUAAGUUCUUCUGUGUAUUUAGAGGAUCAUACCCCCCCCCCAAUUCAUGUCCAAAUAUGAGUAUCACGUGGGUACCUGAGCUUAAUAUCAGCAAAGCAAAUUCAGUACUAAGCUAGAUAUCCAGCAGCAACUAGUUCUCAAGAUGAAAAAGCGGCAUUUGACUUCCAAUCUGCAUCGAACAGCUCCUGUCUGGUGUCUGCAGCAACUAGUCCUCAAAGGAUGCUUCAAGUUGGGGUAAACCUUUGCUCACUUAGUAUUUAAACCUACCAGAGCAUAGAACAUAAAACUCAAGACAACCAAAAAUCUAAAUUGGGUUCAACUGUGAAUACCGUGCAUGACUCUACAACCAUAUGAAGAUAAGUCACCCUCAUUUCCAUCCUUUCUAUAUUUUAUUUCUCUGUCAAUUUAUAAAUUUAUAUUAUCUGUGCCCCGUGGCAAUGCAUUAAAUCCGUUAAAAAAACUAAACACCUUAAAUAUGUCUACCUCUGAAAUUUCCCAGAAAAGCCACAAUCAUUUUACCAGUACCUGAUUAAUUUUCCAGAACAUUCAUUGUAAUAGAAGCAGUUCUAAUUGAUCGAUUGCAUAAGCUGCAAUGCAUGCCUUUAGAAAGAGCAACAAACAUAAACGAAACGGGGCAAUACUGAGCAAAGAGAACCAUCUUUACAAUAUCUUGUGAUUCACAAGGGCCUUGGAAUAAUUGAAAGUUUCUUUUGAAUACCACAAAUGACCAAUUAAUAAGCUUUGCCAUCAUUAUUCAACCAUCAUUCCACUCAUAAACACGUCUAGCCAAAAGAUCCCACUUCCCAAAUACAGCAAACGUUUCAACUAUAGUUACUCUAAUCAGGCACACCAAGUUAAGCCAUUGAAAUAUAUAAAUGCAUAUACUCCUCCAAAGCACCAGCAUUUUAGCUAGAGUUACAUGAAUCUAGCACACAAGAUAAAAUAAAGUUUGCCCAUUUUGAAGUACCCAUUAAUAUAUCUAAGCAUACCCAAAAAAAAAAAACACCCACUAAAUCAAGCAUUUAAAAAAUAAAUAAAUCUCCAGCCAAAAAGGAAAAAGAAAAAAAAAACCCAACUUUUCAUCAACAAAAUGGCAAACUCAAAUGAAACGAAGCAUUUUUACAAUCUCAGAUUCAAAAACCCAGGAAAAAAAGAAGCUAAUAAACAAAACAAAGUACAACUUAAAAUGAAAUCAUAGCAAAGUUGAGCAAAGCUUGAAUCUUUCAGACCUGUUGUGUCUCAUGCAAGUUGAAGAAAGAAAAAACCAAGCAAACAAUGAUUUUCUUUCUUGUUCUAAGCUUCUUUUUUCCAAAUUUACUUCAAAAAAAUAAAAGAAAAUAAAAUUCUUUGAGUCUUCAAAUGGUAAACAGCUUUUGUCUCUUUCUCUCUUAUCCUCUUACCGCUUUUUAGAUUUUGUCAAAAAAAAAAUUAUAGUCUGCUCUACUCAGACCCAAAGAAAUGCACAUUUAACUCUGUAAGACACGUGGUAGAUGUCUAUUUGUUAAAUAGGUGGGGACCACUCUUUGAACCGUGUGUGGGGAUUAGGGAUCUGGUGAUGAAAUCACAAUGAUUCAUUUUCAGCCGUUGGAUUUGUGGAAUAAGGAAUUUUAGAGAUUGGGUUUUCUUUCUUAAAAUAAAUAAAAAAAUAAUUGUUAAAUAAUGGAAUGGAAUAAUUGUGUCUUUGUACUAACAUUUUGACUACAGGUCAACCACGUGGGGAUUUUGUGAGUAGUGGAGUCGUUGGGCCGGCCCAUCAAUCUCUAUGUCAAUUUUAUUUAAAAUUUUAAUAUUCAAACCAAAUCCCUAAAAAGAAAAAUUCUUAAACUCAUAUUAGAUCUGUUCCACUUUUAUAUUAUCUUAAUAUUUACAAUAUUAAAUAAAAACACGUAUUAUAAAAUUUUAUAAAAUUAAAUAUACCCAACUAUAAUAAUUAAAAUUUCAUAAAUUUUAAUUAAAAUUUACAAAAUUAAUUAUAAAGUUUAAAAAGAUAUUUUAAUAAAUUUCCUAAUCUGAUCCAAACCCAAACCCCGAACACAAAUUUCAAAAAAAUUAGAACGAUGUAAGAUCAUAUCGAAUCGAAAUCUAUUGGAUUCAAUUUAUAUUACCAUCCUUAAUCCAUAUGCAUUAUUCAAAAAUAAUAAAAAGUAGAAAGUAUCGAUAUUCAUUUCUUUUAUAAUUAAAAUUUAGGCAUAAUAAAUCAUUAUAUUAGCCAAUAAAAAAAUAAUUUACGAACUCUCCUUACCACAUUAUCCAUGGUCCCUAUCAAUUAAAAAUAAACACCUCAUCUCUUUUGUUCGCAUCAUCUGUGAUCUAUCCUUACUAUCUGUACAUAAAAUAUGAAAAAUAAUAAUAAUGUGUUUAUUUUUAAUUGAUAGGGACCAUAAAUAAUGUAACAAAAAGGGCCCAUAAAAUAAUUUUUCAAAGAAACAGUAACAUAAGUGACCAUAUCUAAAUAUUACUACAUGACAUGAAAGAAAUAAUAUAUGUAUAUAUAUCAGUGUGUGAGAUAAAUAACAAGUUAUUCUAGAAUUUAUGGUUGAAAGAAUUAGAAGAUGUGAAUAUUAAUUAUUAAUUAUGAUUUAAACUCAGAAAUUCGAAUCUCAUCAUAUCUCUCCAUUUAGAGCCUCUUUGUACCUCUAUAUAUAUAUAUAUAUAUAUAUAUAUGGGUAAUGUGUCGAACAUAAAUAUAUUCAAUCAUUUUGAAGUUUUUCUAUCAUUGGAGGUCAAAAAUCUCCAUACCCGAGUUCUUGAGUUACUGCUGAAAAAUGAAUAGGGUAUCUCCACCUAGAAAAGAAAACAAUCAUGUGGUGCUAAAUAUUUUCUUUUUAUAUAUAAAAGAAUUAUUAAUUUCAAUAAAAGGGUUGCAUGUGUCGAGAUUCGAACUCUAAACUUACUAAAAACGGAGGCUUAGUUACGAGCUCGGUUACACUAAAUAUUUGGUUCAUUAAUUAGUAGAGAUCAUGCUUAUAACCAUCAAUAUAUAUGGACAUUAGCUAGCAGCCUAGCAGCAAAACUCCAAGAUGUUAUUGUCGAAACAAAGGAUGGAAUAAGGUAAAAAUUUCUCAAAGGUCAAGCUUCAAUCCGAAGCACUGUUACGAUAUCUUCGAUCAAAGGCAAAAAGAAAAAAGGAAAAAAACUAAACGCAACGAUUGCGACACAAAAGAUGGAAACAACAAAACGAAGGAAAGUUCUUUACCAUCCCUUCAACAAAGUUUCUCUCUCCAUUGGGAAGUCACCCAAUUCCAUCCAUGGAUCUUAGAAGGCUCAACCAAUCAGUUAACGCGAUGUUGGUCGGGUAACUCGUGGCCUCACUGGUGUCUUUGAAGGACUUACCCUGAAAGUUAAGAACGCAACACAGCGUUAGCUUAAUAGAUGACAAAUUUUACGAGCAUGGAAUUUAGAGUGAAAAUUAGGGGAACAAACCUGAUUGGCUGGGUUCCUAGUACCAUCCCACUACAAUUCAGUGCAACAAUGGCGCUUUCCGCCUGUUCAGGAAAUGGAAAUUAUUAGUCUGAGUUAAGGCAAAAAAACAUCGCACAGGGAAGCUAUGAAUUCGGAAACUAGUAAAGCAUUAGGCAAAACUCCAAGGUAAACAAACAAUUUGAUCAUGCAACCUGAUCCAGUAACAUCUAUGAAAAUAAACCGCGAUACUUUAAUGAACCAAGAAAACAUCAUUCAACUUACAUAUUAUAUAUAUAGGAUGUAUGGCAUCAUGUCAACAAUUUCUAGGAUUUAGAAAAUGACAAAGGAACAUAAAAUUAAUAGAGGUUUAAGGAAAGCAUUAAUUGAAAAAACCCAUUAUCGAAUGUCUUGCAAUUACAUACAUAUAAAGUGGGAUGGAGAUUAAACACGGAAAGCUAAAGACUACACGCUCAAAUUGGGACUAUACCUUUGAGGUACAGAGUGAAUAGGACCAAAUCUUUCAGAGUGGUCGACUAAGGACUUUGUGCCGAGCUCUAAGUUAUUAAAUUCAGCAAUUUGCAUCCACUAGAAAACUUCAUAUCCUAACCAUAUCCAUUUCCCAUCCUCUAAAAUAGAGUAGCACAUGCCUUUUAAGAAAAGGUUGCAUCCAGAUUCAAAAAGGAUAUAAAAAAGCUAAUAUUCCCUAUGCAUGUAAACGGUUUCUAUAGUACUGUUUAUGAGAUAUAGCACUCUCUAAUGGUAAUGUGGAUACAAUUUCAUAGGCAAAGCACAAUAAUCUCACUCAGAAAGCUAACUAAGUUUCACAGGCAUGCAUGGGUUUUCUUUAGGGGAUAAAUUUGCAAUAAUAGUUUGCAAAGAGGCUCGGAUGAUAUAAAUAAUUUUUAGCAGCAAGAAAUAUAUAUACACGCUAAUUAGAAGCCGAGCCAGAAACAUAUUUUUCAGAGAAUCAUAAACAUAUUCUGAAAAUAUAUUUUGAGCCAAAAUUUUCCAACAUCAAUCUAGUGAACAUGAACUUACCAUGGCAAAUUCAACAAAAGCAAUGCGGGUCGAAUGCACAUUAUCCCCUAGAAGCCUCAAGCGAGUGACCUGAGAAUUAAAAGAAAAUCGUGUCAACCUUCUUUCUAGAAACAGCUAGAGAGAGUGAGAGAAUGCAUGAUACUGAUACUGAUACUGUACUAACCUCACCACAAGCGGAUUCAAAGAAAUUCUUCACUUCAGCUUGAGAAACCUUCCAUCAAAGAGAAAAUUCUCGUGAGGACUAAAUCAACUAGGUUACAUUAAAUAAUUUACAUGCUGCUGGAAGAGGCUAAAACCGGUUACUGCAGUGACAAAAGAUAAGAACUUGGACUCCAAUGUGAUCAUGGACACCGGUACAUGUCCGAUACGGGUAUGUUCAUUUAUUCCAAGUUCUUUAUCCAUUUAUUUGAAGGGCCCUUAGAGAGCCAUAUCCAUACCCAUGUCUGGAUAUGGGUUAAACACAGGUCUCAAACAUGGGUGCCUCAACAAAAUGAAGAGUUGGAGCAACAUGGGAUAAAAGUCAAGAGUAUGAGCAAUUAAGGGGAUUACCUUCUUGUCAAUAUUUGUACAAUAAACCGUUCUGGUACACAUUUCCCUUUCAUCUUCGGACUGCAAUUGUAGUUAUCAUGAUUCUCGAGCGUGAGACUAGAAAAAAUAUAUAUAAAGAGAAACUCCAAGAGGUAUUCAGUAAUGUGGAAAUGGAAUAGGGGAAAACCGAAACAGCUAAGAGCCAGAAAGUUAUUCAUCCAUACCCGAGGGAGAAAUGUAGGGUUCACAGGAAGGAUAGCAGUUUUUGAAGGCAAGACCCUAACUGGAUAAAACCCGAGCAUUGUCCCACCAAGGUUCAAAGCAGUUCUUGCACCUUCUGUGAUAAGGCAGUUCAUAUAAAAUGUAAUAUGUUAACAAAUGUAUGUAUUUAUAAAAGAAAAUUUUAUAUUCAAUCCGUAUCAGCUGCUUACCUUCAUCUGCAAAUUCCACAAAUGCAAAGCGAAGAACUGAAUGUGGAUCACCACAAACUCGGCAAUCAACAACCUUUAAUAAAAAUUCCCAAAACACUUCAGAAAUGUCAUAAAUACGGUAAUCUUUCACAUAAGCGAUCAAGUAAGAAGCAAUCCUAUCAAGUAGUAUCAACCAAAGCCCCAGCAUCCAUUUUUUGGGGCCUCUGAAUGAAGAAUGAAACUAAAAAAAGAAAACUUUGCAUCGUUUUGCAGGUAUUAGGCAUACACAGAGCUCUAAGAUGGAAAUGAUAAAGCUUGAACAUUAUUGUAAUCUAUGAAAGAAGGCAUUAAGUUGUACAAAAUGCAGCUUUAGACAGGAACGAGCGAAAUUACAACAAAAGCUUUAAAGCCAGAGAUCUUUAACUUACUUGUCCACAGUUACUAAAUAAGCCAGCAAGUUGUUCUUCAGUGAUCUAGAACAAGACAAUGAAUUUCGCAAGUGACUUCUCGAAAUCAUAAUGAUACUAUAAAAAAUCACUAAAUGAUGCCAUUGUUUAAACUUACAGUCUGAUCAAUAUCCGAAACAUAUACAGUUCGCUUAAUGCUAUCAUCUCUUUGAGCACGAAAAGCUUUCCCAUUAAGCUUUCUUCUACCCUGGUUGUAGUUAUUUCUUCUCUGAUAAAAAACAACCAUUUAUCAAAUAUAACCGACGAAAAGAAAAAUGAACAAAUAUGAGACCGUUACGUGUCGAUAUUCGGCAUAACCUUAUUCCAUAUAUGACAAGUGGAUCAAGAAAAUCUAACUCCAAUUGAAUCCAAGUUCCAACAAGUCGAUCAAAUUAAUAAUUAGACAAUAAUUAGGCAAAUUGAAAACCUUAAAAUCAUAAUGCCAGUAAAAGACAACAAUUUUGUCAAAUCCAAAGGAGAAACAAUCAAAAACUAGUUUAAACUGCAGAAUUGAAUUAUCAAAGAUACAAGAACCAUAUGAUAUCCUAACAACUCCUAUGAUAUCCACUAAAAACACCAAAACACUAAAAAAAGAACAUUUUCCCACAAGACAAAAAUAACCUUAAAAAUCUUAUAUGUAAGUAUAUGUGUGUAUAUAUAACUCAAAACUAUCAAACACUCAUCAGUCAAAACCCAAGAAAAAAUGGAAAAAGUAAAUGAUGAGUGAAAAGAAAAUACCCUUCCAUUAGGGAAAUUCUCAUUGCCUUGCUUAUUAACAGGAGCCUGAUUAAAAUCACCAGUUUUGGUGGGAUUAUGAUGAUAAGAUGAUGGGAAAAAUUCUUUGGCUAAAGGAUUCAACUUUGUGAACAUAUCAACAAGCUUUUGCACAUUGAAUUCCUUUGAUUCUGAUUUGGAUGUUUCAACAACCAAAUUGUUGUUUCCAUUAGCUACUGCUGCCUCGCCUGAAUUAUCAGCCACUGCAGCCAUGGAAUCAAAACCCCUAACCCCCCAGAGAAUAAUAAAAGCAAAAAAUACCCAAAUGAUCAAAUGAAAAUGGGAAUUUGCUUUUGUGAAUUUAUUCUCUUGUAUUUAGAAAGAGCAAGAAAGUUAAUAGCUUUACAGAUAAAAUUAAAAAACAAAAACAAAAACUUUUUUUAUGCCUAAUAAUAGAUACCCAUUUGAGCAAACAGAUAAAAAAAAUUGUCUAGAAUGGAAAUAAAGUGAAAAUGCAGAUUGGAUUUCCUUAUUUGAAAUUAAACAAAUAAAAAAUUAUCACAAGAUCAUUUAAAAAAGGAUAAGAACUAGGGUUUUGAAGGAACUGAAAGUCUGAAAUGAAUGAUCAAAGAAAGAGAAAAUCCAGAGAGCAAAAUGGACGAAGGAACGACAGUUUUUCUUUUGUUUUGUUUUGUUUUGUUUUAUUUAAUAAAUAAUAAUUUGGUAGAGACAAUUUAAAGGAGUAAGAAUAAAGUGAUGUCCAAUUGUCAAUUUCAUCCUUUUAUUUUACAAAAUAUUAUAAAUUACUCCUUUUAUUUUAAUUUGUCAAUACUUAUUAUAAAAACUAAAAUCAAUAAUAUAAGUAUAAAUUUAGUAAAAAUUAGCAAUGCAACAAACCAAUAGUUCAAAUUUAUGUUUUUUAAAUGAAUAUAUUAACUUCUUUUUUCAUAAAGCACAAACAUCAAAUUUUAAUAAAUUAAACAUAAAAGGACUAAUAUAUCAAUUUUUUUAAAAUAGAGGGAUUAAAUUUAUAAUUAUAACCUAAAGUGAAAAGUGAUAAAAAUAGGAAAGCUAUGGAAAGCUAAAGACGUAAACGUGACUUAAGGCUUUUUGUUUUUAUUUUAUUUUAUUUGUAUUAUUUAAACUGUAUUAUUUGGAUAUAUAUUAUCAUAAUUUAGAACUGCCUAUUUUUAGAAUUUGUUAGGAUUACAUUUAUUUUCUCUUUCUAUUUUUUUAAAUUUUCAUUUUUUAAAUUUAAAUGUUUUCCAUAAUCACUUAAAUAAAAAAAUUAUAUUUCAACAAUUCAAAGUACAAUGAAAUAAAAAAUGAUAAUUUAAAAAAUAUAUUAUGAUAAUAAAACUACUAUAUAAAUAUAUAUCAAUAAAUAAUAAUAGUACUUUUAUUAAUAUUUAAUUAUUAAAUUCUUACAAUCCAAUCAUCAACACAUUAGAGGUAUAAGAUAAUGAAAAAUACUUGGUGACAUUGAGAAGUGAGAAUCAUUUGUCUUGUUCCUUAAGGUUUGCUUUUCAUUCACUAUUAUUUUUUAAUUACUAUUUUUUAUUAUAUUAUUUGUCGUAUUAAUUAAUAUCGAUAAUUUAUUUUUUGGUAAAUUACGUCAUUCAAUUAUUACGACUUUAAAAAAUUACAAAAUAAUUAUUUAGGAUCAUGAAUUUCGUCUAGAACUAUCCAUAGCCUCUCUCCUGCCCAUAAAUAGGAGGAUGUUACAUUUCAGCGUACUUAAACUUACAUACUCCUAUAUUUACAAUAAUACACAUACCGAUCAAACUAAAACUCAAUUGAUAAAUCAAUAAAACUUUUUUAGGCGAUUUUCGUUAAAUCAAUAAUGACAUGGUUGUUAAAUAUGACUUGAAAUUUUAAAAAUAAAAUAAAACUACACAUAAUUUCCAUGUAAUUUAGAAAAAGAUAAAUUCCAAAAUCAUUAAAAUACAAAAUUCACCGAUUUUGUCCUUCAAAAACCUAAAAAAUAAAGCUUACACUUCAUCUUCUCUGCCUUGAACACAUCAGUGUCACCUUCUUCGCCAUUGAUGGCGACCUUAGAAGAAAACGGAAACGUCCCUUUAUUUCAGACAAAAAUGAAAACUCAAAAAAAUUCCAAAAACUUCCAUGUCAUUGAAGAAAUCCAAAAAUCAGGUAAAGGGCCCUUUAUUUUUUAGGCUCUUAAAAGACAAAAAUAUGGGGAGUUUUGUAAAUUAAUGAUUUUGGAAUUUAUUUUUCUCUAAAUUACAUGGAAAUUAUGUGUAAUUUUAUUUUAUUCUUAAAAUUUCAAGUCAUGUAUUUAACAGUCAUCUCACCGUUCUGUUAUUGAUUUAAUGGAAAUUGACUAAAAAUAAUAUUCUGAUAAAUCGAACGAUAUUUUGUAAUUUUUAGUGGCUCAAUUCAAAUUUAUUAAUAAUAAGGUGAUUAUUUAUGUAAUUAUCCUUAUUUUUUAUUAUAUUUUUGUGAGUAUUAUUGUUUAUUUGGAUAGAAAUUCAUCAAAUAAAUCAAAAAUAAUAUCAUUGCAAAUUUAUAUAUAUUAACUCACCAUAUUUCUAGCCCCUUUUUUGGACAUGUGACAACUUUUUCUAAAUUAUUUUUUAAUUUAUUUUAUUUUUCAAUAAGAGAACAUAAAAUUUAAAAUUUAAAGAUAAUAUUAUUAAAAGAAAUAAUUACGAACUUCAAAUAUAAACUAUAAAAGGUACAUAGAAAAUAAAAAAAAUGUAAUAGACUUGUAGUAAAAAUUUUAAAACAUUAUUAUAUUUAUAUAAUUAGUAAUAAACGCGUUGUCUUUUUUUAAUGUUUAAUUAUUGUAUUUAAAGUGAUUAAUUUAUAUAAAAAAUCGCGAGAAAAAUUAAAAUCUAUAUCUAAUAUAAUAAAAAAAACAAAGUUAAAAAAUUAUUUUUUAAAUGGAUAUUUAAAACUAUUAAUUCCCACGUUGCAUACUAGUUAAAAUUAAUUUUAAUUUUUUUUUUCUAAAUGAAUAUUUAAAAUAGUUGGACUGCACUUUAAUUUGAAGGUUUAUAAUUUACUCUGAAAAAAGUUAUGAUUUUUAUGGAAUAUAUUUUAUGAAAAAAAUCAAUUCAGCUAUUGACAACUUAAAUUUUACCAUCUAUAUUGAACAAUUAUCUUAAAUUUAAUUUUUAUAAUUAUACUAACAUUAAUACUGAAAUAAUUAUUAACAAAUAAUUACUUAAUUAAUUUUCUAGUAUAAUAUUAUUCUUUUGGGAUGGUCAAUAUAUAAUAUGUUUAGAUGAUACAUUAUAUUAUAAAAGUAAUUAAAAUAAAAUAAAAUAAAAGUAUGUGAUUAAAAAUAUUACAUAAUUUAAAAUAUACAAAUUUAUUUAAUUAUACAAUAUUUUAAAUACUAAUUAUAAAAAAUAUUAACAAAACAUAAAUAUAUGGAUCACCAACUUUUAUAAUAUAUGUAUUUAUAUUGUAAUGGUAUUAUUUUCUCAUGUUAUAGACAUAUUUUAUGUAUCAUAUUUUUACAUAUAAAUUUUAGGUAAAUGCUAUGCAAGUGGCAAGAUUCUUCCAAUUCAAUAUGUUCUCAUUUUUUUAGUCCUAAUGCUCAACUAGGCCCUCAAAUUUACCUAUUUUUCCAUUUUUGAUAUUUAAAUAUUUUAUUUUCCAAAUUAUACUUAAAUUAUCAUUUUAUAAUUCAACUUUUUUUUAACGACAUUAAAGAAAUUCAAUCACAAUGUGACAUCAAUCAAAAUGUGUCACAUGACAUCUAACCAAUCACAAAGUAUCAUGUGACUGUUGAGUUUAUUUAAAAUAAAAACAUUAAAAUUUAAAUUGAAAAAUACAUUUGAUAUUGACAUACCGUUAACUGGUAUUGACCGUUUAAUUUGGUUGGUUUUAGUUGUACAAAAUAGAUAAAUUUCAAUUAAAUUGAGUAGAGCUUGAAUUUGAUAUAAGUUAAGAUCAAGUUUGGUUGAAUCUUGUUUUUUUAAGAUUGAAUUUAAUUCAAAAUCAAGUUAGAGUUGCUUGAACUCGUGACUCAUUUUAUUCGAUUUAAAAUUGAAAAAGUAUAAUGCUAAAUUUAGCUCUCAAUGUUUAUAUCUUUUAUCAAUUUACAUUUAUUUUUUUAAACUAAUUUUGGAUCUCAACAUUAAAAAAAGAGAGAGCCAUAUUUGACCAUCAAAUUUUCAAACAAGUUGAAUUGUUUUUUAAUAAAAAUACUGACUAAAACGUAAAAUUCUUAGGUGCUUCAUGCUAAUUUUUUAAAAUUUUUAUCAACUCUUUUAUUUUUUAUUUUCGAAUGUUUUUAUAAAAUUUAAUUUAUUUUUUUUGUCAUGCCAACAUCAUUAAAAAACAAUAUUUUAGUCAAUAUUUAAAUUAAAGAAAGCUAUUUUAACUCUUUUUUUAAAUACAAAUCUAUUCUUUAAAAAUAAAAAUUAAAUUAACAAAAGACGUAAAAAUUAAAUUUAAAAUUACGUUAAUUAAAAGAAUUAUAAUUAUCUCAUUUUUACACCUUAAUCCAAAAUAUUGCACAUCAACACUUUCAUUGAACUUGUCAUAUUUCAUGUGUUAUUUUCUUAUAGGUUGGGUGUCACAUUAUUAAAAAUUUAAUAGCAUUAAUAAAUUAAAUACACUAAUAAAAUUCAUUUAAUUAUUUUUUCCCCUAAUCCUAAAAAAAUAUUGGAUUUCACAAUUUGCUUCAAUUCUUUCAAAAGGAAUCGAAUUAAGAAUUAGGAAUUUAUUUUUAACUUGUAAUAGCCGUUUAGAUUUUGAUUUUUUUUAAAGGGUUUUUUGUCGAAUUUGAACAUGUAAUCAAUUUAGAACAAAAUUGAAAAUAUUUGAAAUUUUCUAUCAAUUUUUUUUAUUAGGAUUAACUUGACAAAUUUUAUAAAAGUUAAAAGUUAAUUUUGUCAAUUUUUUAAAGUUAGAACCAAAUUUGUAAAAUUUACAAAUAUUGUAGAGCUAAUUUUAUUAUGAUACCAAUAAAAGAGGUUAUUCUAAACGUUUGUUAUUGAAUCAAUGAUAGAAAAUUAAAGAAAUCAAAUUUUGAAAAUGUUAGUGACUAAAUCAAAUUUUUUUAAUUGAGUGAAUAAAAUAAAAAUAUCCUGAUUAAAAUUUAGGGUUUUAUAGAUUUUAAAUUAGAAUAAAUUUAAAUUAAAUUAUUGUGUAUUUAAAUCAUUUUUAAGUUUGAAAUGUGGUGCUUUAGUUUAUUGAUAUAAUACAUAUCCGAGGAAUUAAAACUAAAAUUAAUUAAAGACAAUGCACAAUAAACAAAAUAUCAAAAUACAUUUGAACAUAAUUCAAAUAUUACAUUUACACACUACGAAACUUAAAUUUCAAACGUUUAAAGUUUAAUUUUGCCCGUCUGGAAAAUGGGCCAAACCUUGGAAAUGGUUUUUUGUCAAGCUCGGCCCGAAUAUGUAAAAAAAAGUUUGUUGUUUUUGUUGCUUUAUUUAUUUAUUUAUUGUUUUGUUGUUAUUUUCUUGUUUUUUUUCACUAUUUUGUUUUCAUUUCACUAUUAUGUUGCUACUAUUUUGUUGUUAUUUUACAACUCUUGUCUUAUUGUUAAUUUUGUUACUGUUUUAGAAGCAUUUGCUUGUUAAGUUGCACCUAUCUUAGCAUUAUUUAAGUAUACAUAUUUUUUAAUUUAUUUUCAAUUUGUUGAAAAAUAUUUAUUUUAAUAUUCUUAGUAUUUUUGAUGUAUUAUAUAUUUUUUAAAAUUUUAUAUAAAAAAAUUAAUGCAAGCCGAGCUCAAGUUUUAGUAUUUUUAUUUGGGCAGAGCCUAGCAAACAAGCUUAAAAUUUUGGUUGGACCCGAUCCGAGCCGAUCCAUGAGCACCUCUAAGUAUAAUGAAUAUAUACAAUUAUAAUGUAAAUAUUAAAAUAAAUGUUAAAUUGUUUACAUUUAUAGAUUUAAUAUAAUAACACAUCAAGUGGAUAGAUAUAAAAUAAUAAAUAAAAAUUUAAAAGAUAUAAGUGAAACUAAAUAGAAUUUGUAUAAUCGUUUAUUUAUUGAUUAACGAGGUUUGGCAAAGUUUUAAACCCGCGUUUCAAAUUAAAUUAAAUUUGGGCAAUUAUAUAUAAUACUGAUACCAUAUGUGAAUUUGACCUAAUUUAUGAAUAUCUUUAUAUUCGUACUCGCAUUAAAUUCUAAUAAUAAAGUUAUCACUUUUAUUAUUCUAAAAAAAAGUUAUUAUUUUAAUAAAAUCAAUGUAUCAAUCUUCAUUAUUCGUUUUUAUUGUUCAUAGAAAUUAAUAUUUUUAAAAUUCGUGAUUAUCUAUAAAAAUAAUUUCAUUUUUAAUAUUCGAACUCAAAUUCUCCGUUCUAAAAUACAAUGUAUCUUAUUAAUCUAAUUAUUAUUGUUAGGGGGACUGAAAUCUAAGGCUAGAUUUCAACCACGUGUCAACAUUCAAAUUGAAUUAGGUAAUUGCAUCCACAAUAUAUGCGGCCCAAUUUAUUUUAAUAUUCUAAUCCAAGCCCUUUUGAAAAGAAACUCCAAACCCAAAUAAAUAUUCAAAAUAGAAAUUAAAGUAUUUUAAAACAAAACUUUUAAUUAGUUUUUAAAAAAAUUAUUAUCCAAGAAUAAAUACGGCCGAACAAAAUUUGCAGUACAUUUUAUUUUCAGCUUCAAGUUUGGUAUGUAAAGCUAAAUCCAAAACUAUCACGAAGUAUAUGGACUAAUAGCACAAUUUAACCUAUUUUUUACUAUACCAAUAAAAUUUAUUUAUUUUUAUAUUUUCACUAUUUUUAAAAAAAUUAUCUUACUUUUUCACUUCACCAAACUCACCUAAUCCUAUAUAAAAGGAAAAUCUAAUUGAUAGGUAGACAAAACUAAUUUAUAAGCCAAAGGUCAAAAAGAGAGAGCGCAAUAACAUAAUAUAGUUUGUUGUUUCCUUUUCCUAUACUUUUUCAUUGUAAAAAGUAAUUUCUAUUUCCAAUUGAUACAAAUCAAUAUGGGUGGAAACGUAUAAAAAUUUGAUACUAAUUUAUGAUUGUACUUUUUACGGAUGUACCCGACGAAGGACAAUCUCGAACUCAAAACAUAAACUGUAAAAUUAAUAUGAAUUAAAUAAAAAAAUAUUAAAAUAAUUUAUAUCAAUUGUAUCCAUCAAUACUACUAUCAUACCAAUAAUAAACAUUUAAUCUGUACCAAUUAUAUCUACCAAUUGUACUCAUAACUUCUCCUCGAUAUUUAAAUCGAAAAAGAAAACAUAUAUUUAAGUGUGCUCGAAUCGGUUAUCUGUAUGAUUAUUAUAAUAAUAACAAUACUAGCUGAGUUAAACUCAAUCGAUGUUCCAUUUUUUUGUUACUUAUCUUUGUUUAUGGUAAAGAGAAGAUAUUUUUCCUUAUUUUUGGAACAAAUCUUUUUUUUUUAUCUCUAACUAUUUUAUAUAUUAAAUAAACAUUUUCACCUGUAUUGUUACACCAACAACAAAACGUAUUAUAUGUUUUAUCAAACAUAGAAGUCUAGGUCAUGGAUUAGCUAUCAUUUUUCACUAAACAAAAUAUUUGAUCGAAUCAAUAAGUCAUUAGACCCUUUUUAAGAUAAAUUUUAUUAUAUUAAACCCCUUAAAUUAUGUAAUCGAUAAUGUUAAUAUAAAUUUAUCCUCCUAAAUUGUAUUUCUAAAUCCGUUACUGAAGACGGUGUAAUAGAUUCAACCAGCAUGAUUACUUUUAAAACAUCACAUUACAUUCCAAUUUUAAUAUUUAUAACUUUUCUUUAAAUUCAAAUUGUGGUAUCUUUUAUUUAAAAAAAUAUUUUAUUUUCGUUUUUUUUUACCUAAUACUGUUGACGGUAGAAGGGGUAGGAAAAAAGGAACAAAAUAAUAUUAUAGUGAAUAAUAUAUGAAAUAGUUGCCUUUUGGGUGGCUGUAAGCUAAAAUUUUUAUUCCAAUUUCUUAAAGAAGAAGACCAAAUCAAUAUGGUAAAAAAAAGAAGAAGCUUUUAUGUCAACUUGUUUUUCUUUUUUCAAACAAGGACAAAAAAAAGCACAACAAUUUGAAUUUGAUUAUGUUUUUACUCAUCAUAAUUUCAGAAUAAUAAUAUUUAUAUAAAACAUGACAUGUUUAACCAGUUUUGUUAUUAAAAAUUAACACUUUCAUGAUUUUUUAAUUAAUUUUCUUUGUCAUGUUGACGUAAGAAUUGUGUAACACAAAUUAGGGGUGUGCAUUCGAUUAAAUCGAAUGAAAAAAAAAAUUGAGUUGACGAGUCUUAUUUUAUUAUCCUAACUUGAUUUGAAAUUUUCUUAGAAUCGAGUAAAAUUGUUCGUGUUAAAUUAAAAUAUUGUUAUAAUAUCACUAAUUUCAUGUUAAAGCAUGUAAAUUUGAAACCGUAUAUAUUUGAAAACUUUUUCAAAUUAAAAUAAAAAAUAAUAAUAAUUUAGUAUGAUAAACUUGAAUCAUUAAUUAACUUAUUUAGGUCUCAAAUUUAUUAUUCUAUAAAAGUUUUAACUUUUUUAUAUAUUUUUAAUUUUUUUAAAUUUUUUAAAAAUAUAUAAAUUUUGGAUUCUUUAUAAAUAUUUUGAAUUUUAAAAAUUAUUUUUAAUUUUUUUUGUAAUUUUUGUUGAGAGAGAUCAAUUUGCUCAUUUUCAAACUUGAUAGGGACCAAAACGGUAUUUAUACCAAUCUAUUAUUCGAAUUGCAAAAUUCAACUCAAUUCAAGAAUUAUUUAUUCUAGUUGACUUGAAUAAUUAGAAUAUCUCAAUUUGAUUAACUUGAAAUCUAAAUUUUUAAUCGAGUCAAAUUUUACUCACUUUUAGAAUAAAUACAAUACGAAAAAAUAAUUAAAACAUAAAAUGAUACAAAAGAUAAUUAAUUAUAUAUUAUAGAGACUUAAAUAUAUUAUUUGUUUAAAAACAAAUAAUUAAAUUAAAUUCAAAGUCAAUUUUGGAGAUUAAAUUCACACUAUGAAAUCGUCAAGACUUCCAUUUUGAAUAUAAAUCUUCAAGUCUUUAGUUUAAGAGAAAAUGGAAAUAAAAAAAAUCACAAUUAAUAUAUAAUUUUUAAUUUAAUAAAAAUCAAAAUAAUCAUUAAUAACAAAAGACUAUUUAUUGUUGUAAAAUUAUUGUAAAUUAUUUAUAAAAAUAUAUACUUUUUCAAAGUUUCACUGGUACAAGUACAAUAAUGCACAUUAGAUGGAAAACUAGACACAUACAAUACAUGCAAGGGCGUAGCUAAAAGGGUAUAAUAUCUCUUUCAAUCCCUUUUAGUUAUGGAAUAUUCAAUGCUGCAAGCAUUGUGUUGGUUUUUUGCGUCUGCCUUAUUCUUUUGAAUAUUAUGGCAGUUAGGAGGUUUCUGAGGGAGUUGUUUUGAUUUCUUGGGUUUUGUUGCUUCUUCCCGGUGUAAAGGCGUGGUUGCUUCUGGGCGCUGGUGUCUUGCGGCGUGUUCCUGUCGCCCUUUCCCAAACUGGUUUUCUCUCUUUCUCCUGGAGAUUACCCGGGUUUCUUGCGGUGUUUUCUUAUCUUUACAUCCUUUACGUUGUUUUUCUGGUCUGUUGUUGAUUCUUGUGUUUCUUUUACUUUCUUUUUUUCUGCUAUUGUGGUCGCCUUUUCUUUGGUGUGGGCCCUUGAGGGCCCCACGGGUUUAUCUUUUUUAGGGUUUUUUCUUACGUCGAGUCGGUGGUGUUCCUGCAUGAAAAAGUUUCUUGUCGUGGUUUUGUUUUCUUUGCGUGUUCUUGGAUCCUUUGGGAUUGGACGUUUGGAGGGGAAGCCUGGGCCUGUAACCUUUCAUCAUUGAUGGAUGAAAUUAAUGAACUGUUAGGAAUAUUAAAAUUUUCGGAGGAAGAAUCUUCCCUGGUUGUUAAUACAGGUGAAGCGGAUAGGGCUCAAAGCUGGGAGGCAUGGGCAAUGGAAAAAAUUAUGGCAAAUGAUCCACCGAACAGGAAGGCAAUGUAUAGGGUUUUUAAGUCACUUUGGUUCACAAAAGAGGAAGUUGACUUCGUUGCCCUAAAAGAUAAGGUGAUUAUUGUGAAGUUCAGGUGUCAGGAGGAUAGAAGCCGUAUUUUAAACCUCUCUCCAUGGCUGUUCGAUAGGUGCUUAUUUUCGACGCUUCCAUUCGAGAAAGAACAGGACAUGGAAUCCUAUGAAUUCCAAAUGGUACCAUUCUGGUUAAGGAUUUACAACAUCCCUAUUGAAUUCAUGGACCGUCAAACAGCUUUGGAUGUUGGAAAUACGAUUGGUGAGUUGGUGGCAAUUGAUUGGAAGGAUUAGGGGUGAGCAAAACUCGAUUUGACUCAAAAAAAUCGAAAAAAAUUCGAAUUUCGAGUUUAACGAAUCGAGUUAUUUGAGUUAAUCGAGUUAUUCGAAUCAACUCGAAUUUUUUUUUCAAAUUUCGAGUUCGAAUCGAGUUGAGUUUUUGAAUUCGAAUAACUCGAAUAAUUCGAAUAAUUCGAAUAUCAAACUAUAAUAUUUUACAUUUUUACCCCAAACUCCCAAACAUUUUUACUUUUCCCUCAAAACUUUUACUCCUUCCCACUUUCCCCCCAAAACUUUUAUUCCCCUCCCCUCCCAACCCCCCAAUCUACCUAAAAUCCAUUUCCCACCAAAAUUUUACUCUUCCAUUUAUUUUUUCUCAAAAUUUUACUCCCCAAAACCCUCAAAACCUUUUAUUUUCCCCCAAAAUUUUUACUCCCUCCCACUUUUCCCCUAAAACUUUUAUUCCCUUCCCAUCUCACCUCUCAUCUAUCCCAAACCCUCCCCCUCCAAUUUUUUUUAAAUAUUUUCCCUCCAAAAUUUUACUCCCCCUAUUUACUUUCCCUCAAACCUUUAUUCCCAAAACUUUUUUAUUUUUCUCCUAAACUUUUACUUCUAACCCUUUACUCUCAAAUAAAAAAUCAAAAUUAUCCAAAAAAAUCACUAAACAUAAAUAGUAAUAAUUUUAUUUAUAUCUACUAUUUAUAUUAUUAAAUUAAAUUUCACAUUUUAUNNNNNNNNNNNNNNNNNNNNNNNNNNNNNNNNNNNNNNNNNNNNNNNNNNNNNNNNNNNNNNNNNNNNNNNNNNNNNNNNNNNNNNNNNNNNNNNNNNNNNNNNNNNNNNNNNUUUUAUUUUUAAAAUAACUUUUAUUAAAAAUCAUAUUUUUACAUUUAAUAUAUUUUUUAAUUCUAAAAUACAUAGUGACAAGAAUCUGAAGAUAAUUGAAACAACUAAGCAAGUAAAGAAGCUAACCAAUAUAUAAAAAAUUAAUAAAUAAAUUAUGAAGUGAUGAAAGUUAAUAAAAAAUUUGAUUAAGGUGGACAAAUUUUAUUACGAUGGGUGACAAUGGUUACAAGGACCCAAAAUUAUUUUUUAAAAUUUAACUCGAACAAAUAUAUUCGAUUCGAUUCGAUUCAAAUUCCAUCUCACUCGACUCGAUUCGAGAAAAUUUCAAAUAAAGUUAGGAUGAUAAAAUGAGAUUUGAAAGCUCGAUUAACUCGAAAAUUUUCGAUUCGAUUCGAUUCGAUUCGAUUCGAUCAAAUGCUUACCCCUAGGAAUGAUAGAUAUGGGAGUUGGACAGAAUUCAUGAGAUUGAAAGUCAAGAUCGAUGUGUCAAAACCUCUGAGAAGGAUCGUAAAAUUCAUGGAUAGAGAUGGUAUUGAAAGAAUAGGUCUGCUAAAAUAUGAAAGGCUUCCAGAUUUUUGUAAUUUGUGUGGGAUCAUAGGGCAUACUUUGAAGGGGUGCACGAACAAUGUGUUAGAGGGCGGAAUGAGAGAUACGAAUCUUCAAUUUGGAAACUAGAUGAGGGCACCUGCUGUGAACCAAAAUCAUGAUAAGGGAAUGAGAAGAAAUGGGGUGGAAGUGUUUAAAUCAUUGGUAAAACCAAGCAAAAACAAGGAUGAAAGUCUAACUAGAUCAAGUAAUGAAAGCUGGAAACCAAGUAUGGACGGAAAGGAAAGGAUGCCCGAGGAGGAAUUUCUAUCUACCUCCCCUAUGGAAAAUAGAAAGUAUAAACAGCUUAAGGAGGGGAACAGAAAGCCUAAAAGCAAGAGAAAGAGACAAAAGAGCUUACAAGGCUACUUUACGUUCGAAAGUCCAGCAAGACAAGUUAAAAGAAGGCUUGGGGGUUCUUUUUCACCAUCAGAGGCGGCGGCUGGUGACCAGCCCCGCCAAGAGCAAUGAAAAUCUUUUGUUGGAACUGUCGCGGGGUUGGGAACCCGGCGACAGUUCGUGAUUUGAAGUAACUUCUGGUUGCUAAUACCCCCGAUAUUCUUUUUCUAUGCGAAACUAAAAUUCAGUCUAACGAGUUUUCUCGUAUUUAGUUUACGUGCAGAAUGAGAGGUUGCCUUGCUGUUAGCUCUGAGGGGAAAAGUGGCGGUCUGGCUAUGAUGUGGAGGGAAUAUGUUGAUGUUACUAUCCAGACUUACUCUAAGUUCCACAUUGACUCACUGAUUAAGUUGGACGAUGGCGAGGUUAUUCGGUUCACUGGUUUCUAUGGCCACCCUAAUCCCAAUUUACGCCAUCAUGUGUGGGAAAUGUUAAAGAAGGUGAAAGACAAGGUUAAUGAAUGGUGGAUUGUUGGAGGGGACUUCAACACUAUCUUUAAUAAUUCAGAAAAGGAAGGGGGUCGCAGAAAGCCUACGAGCAUGUUGGAUGAUUUUUGGGAUAUCUUGGAAGAAUUAAACCUGAGUGAUGUUAAAACCAAGAAUGGUUGGUUUACUUGGACCAAUAAUAGAGAGGGCACCGGGGUUAUCAAGGAAAGGCUGGACAGAUUCUUCAUUUUGGAUAUUAUUAUUGAGAAGAUGUCGUUCAUUACCUCGAGCAUUGUUCGCCAGUCUAAGUCGGACCAUGAAGCUAUCUUAUUGGAGUUGUAUGGCAACAAGCCUAAGGAGAAGGAUUAUGAUCUUAGAGCUUGGUUUAGGUACGACAUAUGUUGGGCUAAGGAGCAGGAAGCUAAGGACAUUAUUUCUAAGGCUUGGUCUACGGAGGGUUGCAAUACGGUGGAUAAGAUGAAGCUGGUGAAAGACAAGCUAGAACCCUGGCAGUAUAAUAGGGUCAGAAAGUUAAGAAACAAUAUCAAAGGGUUGGAGAAUGAUAUUCGCAACCUUAUAGGUGGUCAAAUUAGUAAGAGAUCGACGAGUCUUCUGAAAAUCGCAAGAAGCAAGUUGGGCUACCAUUACGAGGUGGAUGAAAAAUAUUAGGCCACAAGGGCGCGGACACAAUGGUUGAAGGAGGGGGAUAGGAACACCCGUUUUUUCCAUGCGAAGGCUUCAAGCCACAGAUCAAAGAAUUGUAUUGACAGGCUUAAAGAUGAGCAGGUUGUGUGGCACGUUGAUAAGAAGGAGAUUUGUCAGAUUGCUUGGAAUUAUUUUGAUAAUUUGUUUUACUCUCCGACUCAUGGGGGGAAUAUUUGUGACACGCAUUUGAUUCCCAAGUGUAUUAACGUGGAUGUUAACAAGAGACUGUUGGUCGAAUUCACUGACGGUGAGAUCAUUAAGGUUUUCAACCAAAUGGACCCUCGGAAGGCUCCUGGAAUUGACGGGUUAUCGGGCAGCUUCUUCAAAGAAAACUGGUCUAUCGUGGGGAAAGACGUGCUUAGCCUGUGCCAUUCUAUCCUUAAAGGCAACAGAAGCGCUGAGUGCAUCAAUGAAACUCUAAUUGUUUUGAUCCCCAAAAUCAAGAACCCUUGUGAUAUGUCUAACUUUCGUCCGAUUAGCCUCUAUAGGGUGGUUUACAAAAUUAUUUCUAAGGUGCUGGCUAACCGGCUAAAAGAGAACCUUCAUUUAUGUAUUAGCCAAUACCAGAGCGCGUUUGUCCCCAAUCAGAUGAUCCAUGAUAAUGUCUUAGUGGCCCAUGAAUUGGUUCACAACCUUCGCAGCUCUAAAAAAGGGUCGAACAAGGGUUGUGUGGUUAAGCUCGACAUGCGCAAAGCCUACGACAGGGUGGAUUGGCAUUUCUUAAAAAAUGUGAUGCUGAAGAUGGGGUUUGCUCAUGAGUGGGUGAAUACUAUUAUGGACUAUGUCAGUACUGUUCGGUAUAGAGUUAAAUGUAAGAUGACUAUUUUCAAGCUUAUUGUCCCUAAAAGGGGUCUUAGACAAGGGGAUCCUCUUUCUCCUUACCUUUUUCUCUUUUGCAUGGAUGAUUUGUCUCGCAUGCUUACCCAUGCUCAAGAGACAAAAAGCAUUAAAGGCUUUAGGGCUAGUAAGAAUGGCCCGAGUAUUAAUCAUCUGUUUUUUACUGAUGAUGCUUUAUUGUUUGUUAGGAAUUCGUAACAUGAAACAAAGGCAGUCAUGAGGAUCCUGGAUACUUUCGAAAAGAGUUCUGGCCAAAGCAUCAACUUAGACAAGUCGAUGAUAUACUUUAGCCCUAACACUCCGGACGUGAAACGCACAACCUUAAGCAGAUUGCUGAAAAUGAAGGUGGUGGACAACAUUGAUGGCUACCUUGGCCUGCCUAUCCCGGUUGGUAAGAAGAAGUCGGUGUUUUUUCAGAAUAUUAUUGAUCGUGUCGCCAAUAGGAUUAACAGUUGGUCUAAGAGACUCUUAUCUAAUGGUGGUAAAGAGAUCUUUAUCAAAGCCAUCCUUCAAUCAAUCCCGACCUAUGCUUUCUCGGUGUUCUUUGUCCCGAAUGGUGUUAUUGAUAAGAUUCAGUCCCUGCUCUGUAGGGUGUGGUGGGGUGGUAAGGAUAAGAACAGGGGUUGGAAUAUAUUGGCCUGGGAAAGGUUGUGCCUCCCGAAGGGCAUGGGAGGCCUGGGGUUUAGAGACUUAAGGCAUUUUAACGUUGCUUUAUUAGGCAGACAGGUAUGGCGCCUCAUGAGUUGUAAAGACAUGCUAUGUUACAAAGUGUUGAGGGCUAAAUACUUCCCAGAUGGCGACAUCUUCCAUUCCAAGUGGGUCGACAAACCAUCUUUUACUUGGCAGAGUAUUCAAAAGGCGGCCAAGUGGCUUCAAGAGGGUUUCGGGUGGAGGGUUGGGAACGGUUGCAAGAUUCAUAUCUGGAAUGAUAACUGGGGUUUUGAAGGUUUAUCCGGUGAGUCCAUCUGUAUCGAUAAAAGGAAUGUUCGGGAAAACAAGGUAUGUGAUCUUUUGAACAGUAAUAAAGAUGGGUGGAACGAUUGCAGGGUGAAGGUGGUUUAUGGGGAGAUUAUGGGGGACUAUAUUGGUAAAAUCCCCUUUCUUCCUAAUGGCCCGGAGGACCUACGUAUAUGAUUUCAUAACCCCCAGGGCUUUUAUUCCACCAAGUCUGCUUACUCUUGGUUGACGUUGAAGAGAGUGGGCUAUGGCCCUCAUCGCUUCUUCUGGAACCUUACUUGGAAACUGCAAACCUUGCCAAAAAAUUAAGAUUUUUUGUUGGCGUCUGGGGCACGACAUUUUGCCUACUUACGAGAAUAUCUCUAGAAUCCGGAGGGACUUAAACAGCAUGUGUCCGAGAUACGGUAUUGAGAGGGAAACCCUCAUUCAUGCUUUGAGAGAUUGUCUUAGUGCUAGGGUUGUGUUGCGCUAUGGGGGGUUGAAUCAAAAGCUGCUCGAGGGCACCUACGAUCGGUGCAUGGACUGGGUUGAGGAUGCUGCCCGUGUGUUGGAUAAGAAGGCUAUGUCGGGCUUUAUUGCCACUCUCUGGAAUAUUUGGAAUAGUAGGAACAACAAAGUUUUUCGUAACAUGGAGGAGGAUGCCAAGGUGAUUUGGGACAAGGCCGCGGCUUUGAAUAGGGACUUCCGUAUUUUUAAUCUGUUGGAUAGGCCGAUGAUCCCUAAGCCUAUAGUGGAAAGGGAUUGGCAGAAACCUGAGGCAGGGUUUAUCAAGAUAAACUUCGAUGCUACUAUUCAGGAGAGGUUGGUGUGCUUCGGUCUGGUGGCUAGGGAUGCUGAUGGUUUCGUUCACGGGGGACGUGUGGGCAUGACUUACAAAGUCUAGAGUAUUGAGUGGGCGGAGAUGUAUGCCUUGGAAGAGAGUAUCAAUUACGCCCGGUUUAAAAACUGGAAGUGCAUGUCGGUGGAGUCUGAUUGCGCAAGUAUUGUUAAUCGUUUUAAUAGUAGAAAGGAGGACUUGACGUUGAUGGGCCACCAGUUGAAAGAGAUCCGUAAGCUCACUGUUGGUUUCAAUUUUUUACGGUUAAUUGGGCCCCUCGGUGUUGUAACAAAGUAGCUGAUGCUCUUUGUAAAUGGGCAAAUCUUAACAAGAGCUGUUUGGAUUUUAACAUGGAUUUUCCGACGGAGAUCCAUGAUCUUGUUUUAAAUGAUGCGAUUAAUUAAAGUUUUUUACCUUCGAGUUUCCAUCAAAAAAAAAGUUAUGGAAUAUUCAAUUUAGUAAUUUUAAUAGAGUUUUUAAUUUUAGUCUCCCAAACUUCUAAAAUUUUAUUUUGCUUCCAAUGACAAAUUGCUGGCUUUACCCUUGCAUACAUGAUGGGCGUGAUGGGCGUGAGAUUCAUGUAUCACAAGACUCGAAAUUGAAAUUUUAAUAAAAUUCAAGAUCUUGCUAAGGACUAAUCAGCUAAAAAUAUAUUUAUUAUUAUGUCAAAGUCUUUGAAUAUGCUUCGAAAUUUGUGAACUUUAGACGUAACAUUGAAAGUGGAGGGUUGAAACUUGAAAGUCGUAUAUAACUUUAUCUUUGAAUAUAUUUUACUUUUUAUUUUUUAUUUGACAAUUUUGUCACCACUUGAAUUUUAAAAUAUAUAAACUUAUAUUACUUUGGUUGAAUGUUUCCUAAUAAAUUAUAUAAUAUUUUACUAUAAUUUUCAACUUUAUCUUUACUAACAACAAGAAAAAAGGUUGUUAGAUGUUUUGGUGCGGCGAAAAUAAGAGGAUCGUGUCCGACAUAUUUUAAAUGAUCAAAAUGGAGUUGCGGACUACAUGGUUACAUGUGCUGUUACAGGGGACUCUUUGUUCCAUUUAUUUACAAUUGUGCCAGUUUUAGUUAGAGAUUUAUUGGUUAAAGAUCGUAAUGAGUGUAGCACCUUUAAUUUAUGAAUUGGUUGUUGUAAUCAUCUAAUGAUGUCUCUUUUCUACCAAAAGAAAGAAAAAGGUUGUAUUAUGUUAUUCUGCUUUUUUUUUUUCUUUUCAUACUCUAAUAUACAUUCGAUAUAAAUAUUGAUUUAGAGUUUAUGAUUUUUUUAAUAAAAAAUUCUUGAUAAUAGCUUCAAGGUUUUCUUGAGUUUGUAUUUUUUUGUAUAAAUACAAUUAUAAAUAUGUAUAUGAAUAACUAUAAAAUAUAAUUAAAUAAAUAUAAAGUACAAAUGAAUGAAGAACUAUAAUAUAGCGUACAAAACCCACACAUACAAUAGGGGCAAAUCCAGAAAUUCUUUUACAGGGCUAGAAUUGAAUUAUAAAAUUUUGAAUGAUUAAAAUAUAAAUUUGUCAUAUUAAUGAUUUCCUCUUUUUCAAAGGGAUUACACAUAUAUUUUUUCAUUUUUUGAGGAGUUAAAAUGUAAUACAUUGAUUUAUAAUUUCAUCAUUAAUGAAGCGAUCGAAUUGCAAUUUUUCUAUUUUGGAACCAAGUCCCUUACCUGCCCUUUUGGAUUCACACCUUUGCAAGGGAAUGUGCAUGAUAAGAUUAAAGAUUUAUAUAUGAUAAUUGCUUAUGAUAAUACUCGAACUUGAAUAUUUAAAGACUUCAAAUCUCAAUUUUUGCUAAUAAUUGCCAUGUAUAGAUAUAAAUUAGAUCGAUUAACCAUUCGAGGAUUAAAUCAAUGCAAGUUGAAAAUUAAAGGGUUAGCAUGAUUUGUUAUUGCAAUGCCAAUAAAGGGUUAGUAAAUUACUAGCUUGCAAGUGGUUGUUAGGCUUUGAGAGCCAAACAUUUGCUUUUUGCUAUGGAAUCAUGCACCAAGUGAAAAUAAUGAUUCAGGAUCUUUUUGGAUUUCAUUUAACCACAUUUGAGUGGGAUUUAUAAAGUUUUUGGUGUAAUUGCAGGAUAGUAUUUUUCUUUUAAUUUCACUUUUUUUUAUAUAUAUUUGACUAUCUAAUUUUUUAAUAUUAUAAAUAUUAUAAUAGUUUCNNNNNNNNNNNNNNNNNNNNNNNNNNNNNNNNNNNNNNNNNNNNNNNNNNNNNNNNNNNNNNNNNNNNNNNNNNNNNNNNNNNNNNNNNNNNNNNNNNNNUUAAAGAUUCGCAUAUGAUGAUUACUCAUGAUGAGAUUCGAACUUGAGUAAUUAAAGACUUGAAACUUCUACUUUUGCUAAUAAUUGCCAUAUAUGGAUAUAAAUUAAACCCAUUAGCCAUUAGAGGAUUAAAUCAAAACAAGUUGAAAAUUGAAGGGCUAGCAUUUUGCAAUAUUAUUGCCAAAUCUUAAGUAAAUUAUUAGCUUGCAAGUUGCAACUGGUUGUUAGGCUUUCAGAGCCUAACAUUUGCUUUUUGCUAUGGAAUUCUCAAGUGAAAUUAAUGAAUCUGGCUUUUUUGGAUUUCAUUUAACCACAUUUUAGUGGGAUUUAUAAAUUUUUUGGUGUAAUUGCGUCACAGGAUAGUGUUUGACUUUCAAUUUUGACAAUAAAUUUAUAUGUAAUUUUUUUAAUAAUAUUAUUAUAUGGGUACAAACAUAUAAAUUUCAAGUCAACUAAUUGAGAAUAAAUAAUUACUUCAAUAAUAAAAACAAAAACAAAAACAUUACACAUAUGAUUAUUUAUUAAGAAAAUUAUAACUUAAAAUUAUUUUAUAUAAUAAAUCUCUUUAAAUAAAAUAUAUAAAAUAAUGUACUUAUAUUUUAGUAAUUAUAAUAAUUAUAAUAAUUUGUUAAAUUUUCAAAUGUGUUAUAAGUUUAUUUAUAUACAAAUAUUAUUCUAAUGUCUCUAAUGGUCGAUUUCUCUUUUCAUUAUAGUUCACCUCACAUUCACCAGCAAGUGAAUCCAAACACAUUUUCCGUCGCUGAUUUUAAUUUAACUGCCCAACCAAACAAAAAUUUAAUACUGGUCGAGUUUUCAAGUAAAGUUGAUUUGAGUGGGUCGAAAUACUCAAAAAGUUAAAAAUAAAAAACAAACUUAAAAAAUUAAGUCGUUUUACUUUUCUCAUUUAAAAUUCCAGAUUAAUUAUUAAAAUUAUAAGUAUUUUCUAUUAACGUUUGAAAAUUUGAAAAUUUGAAAUUUUUACUAGGCUGUAAUCAUAUGAUAUGACAUAUGAUUAUCAACCAAAAAAAAAAGUAAACAUAUUAAUUUGAGAAAUUUUGAGAGAUGCUACUAAUGAAGAUAAUAAUUGAUAAAGUAAGACAAUUAAAUUUUUUAAGUUUUAAAAUACAAGGACUAAAUCUCAAUUCUAUACAAGUAUGAGGUUAAUAACAUAUUUUAACCUUUUAUUUAUUAUAUUAAAUUAAUAGUAAUUCAACUCAAGAGUCACCCAUAAACAAUUUGAGAUAGAGUUUGAUUUUAGGAGUGAAUCAAACAUAUUAAUUUAGAGAAUAAAAUAAUACAGAAAAGAAAAUUUCAAAUCUUAAAAUUAAAAAAAAAGUAUGAUUAUAAAAAUAUUGAUGUCUUUUACCAUUUCAAAAUUAAAAAUAUUUUUUAAAAAAUACUAUCCAUAUUAUUUUUAGUAUAAUCCUUGUUUUAAUUCUCAAGUAAGUGUGCCAUUUCUAAAAUCUAUAAUGGAGAAAAAGGGAAGGGGGAAAGAGAAAAAGAUAUAAUGUCAAUUUGUGGGUUUGGUCCUUUAAUUCUACUCAAGUUUGAGAUUUAGUCCUCACGAUUUAAUUUGACAUAAUUUGUUAAUGUACUUUUAUAAUAUCAUUAGUUAGUCCAAAUAAUUAAUACAUUAGCAAGUUCAAUUAAAAUGUUGAAGUAGCUUUUUCCUUCAAUUUGUCAUCCUAGCAAAAAAAUAAAGAAGAAAUUUUGUGUGGUAUGAUUAAUUAUAAGGUAAUUAAGCCAUGACAUAGUUAGAAGGGGGUAUUUUAAGAAAAGAUACACAUCAUUAUUUUAACAUUUUAAAAUAGAGAGACCAAAUAUAUGUCAAAAAAUUAAAGUAUAGGGGCUUAAUCCUAAAUUUGAGCAUAUAGAGAGACCAACACUAUAAUUUGACCAAGAAAAGAGAAAAAGGACAGAAAAAUAAAUAAAGAGAAGAAAUUUUGUGUUUUUAUUUUUAUUAUUUAGGAUAAAUCUCAAAACUAUAUAAAAACUUCGACCAAAUAUAUAAUGUUAUACAUGAAAUAUGAUUUUGUACAAUACAUAAAAUUUUGAUUUGAUUCAAUUUUCUCAAAUCACUAAAACAAUUAUCUGUAAAGCAUCAAUUUAUGUUUACAUAUUGCAUACACAAAUAAUUAUAUUGAUCUAAUAUGAAAAGAAAUUUAACGUAUUUAUUUCUUUUAAUGUGUAUAGUUGAAUCACAAUCAAAAUUUCCUGAAUACAUUUGAACUAUGAUCAAAGUUUCAUGUGUAUAAUUGCACCAAAUUAAAAUUCAUGGUAUCAAAUUGUACAUUAAAUCAAAGUUUUAUGUGCCAUUUUAAGAUUUAUCCCUUAUUUUUAAGUUUAGAAUAUGUAAUUAUUUUUUUAUAUAAAUUAUAGACUGAUAUAAAUUUUUAAUAUUUUAUAUUUUUCCAUUAAACAGGCUUUCUGUAAGUUAAUUUAUAAAUCUAUUUAAUAUUUAUAAUUAAUUUAUUAGAGACUAAAAUAUUUUUAAAGUUAAACAUUAAUUUAUAUGAAAAAUGACUCACACUUCAUACUUUUUUAUUUAUUAUUAUCAUUAAAUAUUUUAUGUUAAUAUUUGUGAACUUUGAAUUUUGAUUAAACUAUGGCAUGGGAUACGAUUGACGUGAAAUAAAAAGAAUGUUUUUGACAAAUUGAAGAAGGGGAUUGUAUUUUUAACUUUUAAAGUGUAAUGAUUAAAUCUCAAAUUCUAUAUAAAUACAGGGACUAAUAAGAUAUUAAACCAAUUGUUAAUUAUUAUCAAUCCAUAGGGGAAGUAGAAAAUUUCGGCCAUUUCUCCUCUAUUUAUAGGGUGACCUUACUGCUCAUAUAUUCAUUCAAAUCUUAGUUUUUAGAUCAUUUAAAUUAUAUAAACCUUCAACAAUGGGUCCAAGCUUCGACGACGGCACCUCACUCUACAACUUCGUCGUCCGCGACGGAAACGGCGUCAAAGGAAUGGUGGAUUCCGGCUUAACGACGGUGCCGGCGGCUUACAUGCAACCGCCGAGAGAGCGGAUCGACAAGGAAAGCGCGCGAAAACACGAGCAACCUCCGAUCGAUCUGUCGAGACUAGACGGACCUGAACACGAUGAAGUCGCCGUCGAAAUCGUUAGAGCUGCCGAGACUCUGGGCUUCUUCCAAGUAAUCAACCAUGGCGUCCCGGUUGAUCUGCUGGAAUCGCUGAAAGACACUGCGAAUAAGUUCUUCGGCCUGCCGCCGGAACAGAAGGCCGUUUAUCGGUCGGAAGUUAGUCCGACGCCGCUGGUGAAGUACGGAACGAGCUUCGUGCCUGAGAAAGAGGCAGCUUUGGAGUGGAAAGAUUACAUCAGUUUGCAGUACGUCAAUGAUGCAGAAGCUCUUCAACAUUGGCCUAUUGAGAUAAGGUGCGACGAAAAAUGAAUUUUUAAUUAGUGCAAAUAAUUUUUGAUGAAUUGAUUUUUAAAAGUUAUAAACGGGGAUUAUAUUAUUUAAAAGUUUUUAUUUAAGUAACUGAGAAGUUAAAAGUCGUUAUUAAAUGGUUUUUUUUAUCACAUCAUGUGCACUAAUCAAAAGUUUUCAUUUUUCUUCUUUUUAACAAUUAAUUUUUUUUUCAUUUAAUAACUUUGAAUAUUGUGACUACAAGCCAAAAUAUAAACUAUAAAUAGUUUUUUUCUUUUAUUUCCGAUAUUAAUUAUCAGAUCGACUUGAAUUUAAAACAUAUUUUUCUACCUGUUGAUGGUCCCGAUCAACAAAUUGUCGCUUAGAGCUUGAUAGUAGAAUUUUAAGUGACUUUAACAAAAUUUUUUGAAUAGUUUAGUAACCAUUUUGUAACAUUUUGAAGUUGAGUGACCAAAACUUAAACUUACUAAUAGUUUUGUGACCAUGGGUGUAGUUUACCCAUUAAACACUUGAGGUCAUUAAACUAUUAGCAAAUUUACUUAUUGGUCACUAAACUUCAAAAAAUUACAAAGUAGUUAUUGAAUUAUUUAAAAGGUUUCAUUUAAACCACCGAAUUAUUCAAAAGUUUUUAUUUAAGACAUUGAGUUAUUAAGUUUUUAUUUUCAAAAAAAGUUUAGCUGAUGAGUUCCAAGAGACUAUUCAGAGAAGAAAGUUGUUUAAAUUUUAGUUUAUAAAUUUGUGGUGUUCAAAAUUGUUUCAUAAAAAAAAUUAAAUUGCAUAAGAGAAGAGGAAUGAGAGCCUUCGAUUGGUGUAGGUGGUACGAACAAAGAAGGUCAUGCAACAAUAAUUUUAACAACUCAAUGAUUUAAAUGAAAAUAUUUAAAUAGUUUAAUGAUCAUUUUGUAACUUUCUAAAAUCAAAUGGCUAAAAUGUAAACUUAUUAUAAUUUAAUGACCUUAAGUGUAAUUAACCCAAAUUUAAAUUUUAAAAUUCAAUGAAAUGAAUCGAUUUGAACAUGUAAAAAUCGGUUCAGGUUGAUUCAAUUAUUAUUAAUGUUCGAUUCAAUUUUUUAAAAAAAUAAAUUAUUACAAAUUAGUCAUAAUUUUUUUAAAUGAUUUUGAGCCGUUGUCACUAUUGAAUACUAUCAAAACAUUGGCCCCGUUCUUUAAUGCUUCUCAGAUAGACUUUUGGAAUAAAACGUGUUUUUCCCUUAAAAUCAUUAAAGAACAGACAUCAUUUUAGUAAAAUUUUCAACUUAAAAAAAAAAUACUUUUUGGCAGAUGAAGAAGUUGAAAAUUUUAACUUUUUCUUCAACCAAAAGUGCUUUUAGCUUCUAUUUACAUUUUAAACCUUUGUCUUCUUCCAAAAUUUUUAGUAUUUAUAUUUGGUAUAUAAAUAUUAUCCCUUUUUAAAACUUUAAUCCAAAUAUAUGUAAUAUUUUAAUUUAUUAGGUUUAUGUUUUCUAUGUUAUGUUAAUAUCUAAUAUGAGUUAUAUAUUCAAAUACAUUUUAAAAUAAAAUAAUACAAAUGAGUUAAAAACAUUAAUUAAAAAUAAAAAAUAAUUUUUAAAAUAAUACAAUUGUGUCAAUAUCUAAUUACAAAUAUUUAAUUAUUAUAUUUAAAUAUUUAAAUAUAGUUUAUAUAUUCUAAUUAAAUUUAAUAAGUAAUUAAUAUUAAUUACUUAGAAAUAUUUAAAAUUAAAAUUAAAUAUUAUAAUAUUAACAAUAAGUUAUAAUAAAUUAUUUUUUUAUAUUUUUACUAAAAAAACCUAAUAUUAACUAAUUUGAAUAUUAUUUAAAUACAUAUUUGUUACUUUAUAAUAUCAUGUCUAAAAUGGACAUUUUAUUUCUCAAAAACACUUUUUGAAAGCAAUACCAAACACUCAAAUUUUUCAAAAGCAAUUCUCAAAAGUACUUUUCUACUACACUGUUCAAAAGCACUUUUCAAAAUCAAUGAAGAACUGACCCUUAAUAGGAUUGAGAAUUACUUACAUUGUUUUUGUUUUCUAGGGAUGUUGCACUUGAGUACUUGAGGACAUCAAUCAAGAUGGUGAGAAAAUUGCUUGAAGUUUUGAUGGUAAAUCUUGGGAUGAAAUUGGUAGAUCCAAAAAUUGAUGCACUCAUUGAUAAGAAGAUGGUUAAUAUGAAUUUUUAUCCAACAUGUUCUAAUCCGGAUCUUACGGUAGGAGUAGGGCGUCAUUCUGAUAUGGGUACUAUUACAGUUUUAUUACAAGACGGAAUUGGUAGUUUGUAUGUGAAAAUCGAAGAAGAUAUGAGAUUUGGAAAGAAGGGAGAAUGGGUAGAGAUCCCUCCUACUCCCGGUGCCUUGGUCAUCAAUGUUGGAGAUAUGUUACAGGUACAUAUCAAGCGUUCAAUUAUGUGUUUUCUUCUUCUUCUUCUUCUUUUAUAAAACAAGCCUCAAUUUUGAUAGAAUGCUUGAACUAAUUGAGCUAAGGUUAAGGAUAAUUUUGGAUCCUUUUAAAAUAAAGGAAUCUAAUGACCUCGUUUUUAGUUUAAUUGAUUGGUAUGAUCGUUUUGAUUUUUACAAUUAUGAUUGUGAUUCAAAUUUCUAAAUAUUAUCUUUCAAAGGUGAUUACAUGAAGUAAGUGAACUAAGAUCCAAAUCUAUUGGAUAUUAUCUCUUAUCCGAAUUCAAUUUAAAACUCUUCCAAGUUCUAAACUUAACCAUAAUUUAACUAAUUUGUUUUUAUAUGCAGGUAUUAAGCAAUAAAAGGUAUAAAAGUGCAGAGCAUAGAGUUCGUACUACAAACACAACAUCAAGGGUGUCAAUACCAAUCUUUACGAUUCCAAAAUUAACCGAAAAGAUUGCACCAUUACCUCACCUUGUAGAAAAAGACGGAAUUGCUCAUUAUAGAGAAUUUAUGUUUGCUGAUUACAUGAAAAACUUUUUCGGAAAUGCCCAUGAAGGAAAGAAAUCUCUUGAUUUUGCAAAAAAUGUCGAUUCUUCUUGAUCGAUAGUCAUAAAAUUCGAUAUUCAUAAAUUACCGAUAAAUUAAAAGGUGAAUUACUCACUCUGAAAUCUUGUCUUGUUUCCUGUUAUUGUUAUUAUUAUUAUUAUUAUUACUCCGAUGCGAAGUUAUAUGUACCACAUUAUUCUCUCAUUUCCGUAUUUUAAUUUCAAAAGGUUGUAACGAUGAAAUUUUAAUUAUAUAAAGCUUAAGUGAAAUUAAUUCAAUCUUACUCAUGACAAGAAAAGAAAUAAGUUAACUUUCCAUUUUGUUUAGGAGUUUAAUCCGAAUAAUUAAUUUUAAAUUUCUAAAUUCUAAUACCAUACCAUAAAUUAUAAAUUUAGUGAAAAAAACCCAUAAAUCUUACAUUACUAUUAUUAUUUGUUAAUUUUAUUUAAUUUUUUGACAUUAAUUUUAUUUAAUUAAUCAAUAUUAAUUAGAUUAAAAUAUUAUUAAGAAAAAUUAUCCAAUAGUAAAAAGUAUAUGACAUUAAUUAGAAAUUAUUUUAAACGUAUGAAGUGGCACACAUUUAUUGGAUUGGAUGCUUAAAAUUUGAUUUUUUUGAUAUCAUCUUAAUAUAAUUUAAACUCUUUGUUUAAUGGCACCUAAUUUUGUGUUUGUGUGUCUUUUAAUUCAGUAAACGGUAUUAAAUGUUAUUAAACUAUUAAUAAAUUUAAUUUUUGGUUUAUUUUAAAAAAUUACAAAAUGAUCAUUAAAUUAUUUGAAAAUUUUCAUUUAAGUCACUAAGCCGUUAAGAUAAUUGUUAUGGCAUUAUCUAUUCAUACUGCCUACACCAAUCCAAAGUUCACUUUCCCUUUCUUUGCUAUAGUUCACUUUUUUUUUUAUGGAACAACUUUAAAUGUCACGAAUCUACAAAUCAAAAUCCAAACAACUUUCUUCUUUUCUAUUCAACUCUAACUGUUAAAUAAACUUGGAUCUAAGGUAAGUUUUCCUACUCGAUAGGUACUGGUCUAAUCUACUGAUUAUCAAAUCAUUGCUCAAGUUUGUUAGCCAAACUUUAAGAAAAACCUUCACAUCAAUAUUGUUUGAAUUAGACCAGACCGAUCGAUCCAACCGAAAACCAAAUGAAAUAGCAGUUUAGAUAGGAGUUUUGAAUAGGUCGACCGCAGAAUAGCUACCGACCCACCAGGACAAUGAUUUGUUCUUUAAACAAGACGAUGAGCUGUUUGCUUUAAUGUCUAAAUAGAAGCAACCAUGGAUUCAUUGAUGUUAACUUAAACAAGCCUCCAGUUUUACCUCGCAGAGAAGCUGUGGGGUGGUUUUUCAAGAUCAAAGAACGGUAUGGGCUCAAUGCUUUUACCAUGGUUCUUGCUGUGAAUUACUUUGAUAGGUUCAUUUGAAGCUUAAAUUUCAACAAGACAAGCCAUGGAUGAGUCAAUUAACCGCUGUGGCUUGUUCAUCUUUAGCUGCCAAAGUUGAAGAAAUCCAAGUGCCACUUCUUUUAGACAUCCAACUAUCCAAGUAUGACACAAAAUUUAUGCUUCUAAAAGCUUUACAUUGCUAAAAACCAAUAGGACAAUAGGUAAGGUAGAAGCUGCAAUAUAAACAACUAUUUCUACUAUCAAAUUACACUAAAGGACUAAAUUUUCAAUUCAAACAUAAUGAAAAGACCAAAACCAUUAUUUUUCAUUCCUAGUGAUGAAAGAAUAACAGCAAGAGGUUAGUACAAUAAUGGUGCCGUCGAUUGACCAAAUGGCACUCAUAAAAAAAAAAUAUUUUUAAAAGUUUAUGUGAGCGGUGACCGGGGAAAGGGUUGCCAUCGAUUGGUCUUGCAGCUUUAUUUUUUUGUUGUAGCUCCUGCCUAGAUUUAUAAAUAUUAAUGCAUUUAUCUCAUUUUAGUAUUUAUUUAAUUAUUUUAUAUUAUUUAAGUAAAAAACCCUAUAUCUUUAUAAUUUUUUAAACAUAUAAAUUUUUAUAAUUUCUGGGGUCAAAAUGUAACUUUAUCAUUACUAAUUUAAAAUUUUAUAAGCUAUAAAAGAGUUAAAUGAAAAUUUUUCUAUUUUAGGGGGCGUGCCCCUGCCAGUCCUUACCUUCGCCAUUGUUACCGGGAAACAUAUUACCCAUAAAGAAUAUUUAUGGGGUAGAACUAGACUUGAUUAUGGGUUGGGAACCCCGUAGGCCUGCUUGAAAAGUGAGAGGGCUUGGGCAAAUUAUAGGUCCAAAAAAUGAGUUUUAGCAAAAAAUGAAGUCCAUUUAGAUGGGCAUCGAGUAAGCUUUUUUUGUUAGGGCCUGACCCAGCCUGAAUUUGGAAACAAAAAAUUUGAUGUUGUGUUUUGUUGUUGUUUCCAUUAUUUUGCUGUCAUUUCGUUAUUAUAUUGUUGCUAUUUUGUUGUUGUUUGAAUAUUGUCUAAUUAUUAUUUUAUUGUUAAUUUUUCUAUUAUCUUAGAUGCAUUUGCUUGUUAAAUUACAUCUAUUUUAGUAUUAUUUAUAGAGAAACAUUUAUUUUAAUGUUUUUAGUAUAUUUGAUGUAUUAUAUUUGUUUUUAUAUAAAAAUAAUAUUAUAAAAAUUUAAUAUGGGCUGAGACGGGCUUGCGCAGAAUUUUAGACCCAUUUUACGGAUCGAGACGAGCAUAAAAAAUGGACCUAAAAUUCUAUUGAUGCCUAACUCGAACCCGAUCUGACCCAACCCAUAAUCACCUCUAGGUAGAACUAAAAAUCUUAUGCUAAAAAUUAAAUUAAUGAUUCAAAUAGUAGUUACUAUUUUGUAGUUUUGAUUUGGAUUAAUGUAUCAUUGGUACAUGAGUUUGGUUUUAAUAUUCAAUUUAGUCUAUGAAACUUUUUAAAUAUUAAAUUGAUAUUUGAGUUUAGUUUUAAUAUUUAAUUUAGUAUCUAAAAUAGAAGAUAUCAUGUGAUCCCGUAAAUAUUUGAUGCAUUUACUCUAAUGAAAAAACAUAAGUAUUUAAGUAGAAUAAAAAAAAAUUCAGCUAAAAAAUAGAAAAGAUAUCCAAAUACCAAAUUGGAAAAUUAAACUAAACUAAAGUAUGGAAAAUUAAAGAACAAAAAUAGUAAGCUUAGCCAUGUUUUCCCUUAACAAUGUGGUGACCAGGGACACACCUUGAAGAAAGGAAAGAUUAUAGAACAGUCAAAAAUAGUGUUUUUAGGCACAAAAUGGAAGUCCAAAAGCCUAAGGCAGAAUUUUGAAAUUACAAAAAUCCUAUCUCAUAGAAAACUCUACUCACACUCGGGUUCUCUCUUUUAAUGGCACUUCGUUAGCACUUCUUCUAUUAUAAAUACACUCAUAUUCUCCUUUAAGUUCUUCUCUAUCAUUUGAGAAUUUUUUUUCUUCUCAAAAUCUAUUUUCUCUUAGGUUUGCUCUCUAUCUGGUUUGAUUUAGAUCUUUACAUGUAUUAUUCAUGUAUUAGUUCAUGAUUUUAUUUUAAUUUUUGUAUGUUAUUGUUUUAUUUUUCUGAGAUUUGGUUAUAGAAUUUCUCUCUCUCUAUAUGUUCAAAUAAUUUGAUUUGAUAUCUUAUUCUAGUUAAUGUGAGAUUAAAUUUUUUUUAAUAAAAAUAACGAAGGAAUUGUCCCUUAUUUAUAGGGUAAAUGUGAGCAUAGUAGUAUCCUCUAGCCAAUGUGGGAUUAAAAUUAUUUUUUUAACAUAUUAAUGUUAAUUUUUAAUUAAAAUAAUGAAGUGAAAAAAAUUAAUUUUUUAAUAAUAGUAGUGAAAAAUUGUUACUUAUUUAUAAUGUAAUUGUGAGAUAUGAUAGUGUUCUUUAAUUAAAAUUAAUUUUUUAUUUAUUAAAUUAUUAGUUUAUUUGUAAAUUAAAAAAAUCUAUUAAAGAUGUUUACCAAAACUUUCUAGACUAGAAAAAUAAAAUAAAAUGUGAGAUUAAAAUUAAUUUAUAAUUUCUUAAAUAAUAUCUAAAAGCAUCUAUCUUUUUAUAUUAUUAAUUUAUUUGUAAAAUAAAAAAAUUCUAUCAAGAUGUUUAUCAAAACUUUUUAGAUUGAAAAAAUUAAAAUAAAAAAAUAAAUAGUAGUUAUAGGUUAUUUUUGAACCAUUAAAAUAAUAUUAUUUUUCUCCAUAAUGUAAUAUACUAUUAUAUAAAAAUAGUUUUAAUAUAUAAAUUUUUUAAAUAAAUUUUAAACAAAAAAAAUUAGAGCAAUUAUGAAAAUAUUGAAGAAACUUACACAUAUUUAUAGGAUAAAUGUGAGUUAUAAAAGUAUUUUCUUAUCGACAUGAGAUUAAAAAUUAGUUGUAUAAAGAAAUGUUACAUGUUGACAAAAUAGAUAUACCACGUGUUAAAAAAUUAGACUAUCCACAUUAGUUGGGACCCUAAAAUCUUAUAAUAUAUAUAUUAUAUGUAAAUAUAAAUAUUAUUUAAGUUUCUUCUAGGCUUUUCUUGAACAAAUGAUUGAAAGAGUAAGAAUGAAAAUUUUGUCAAUCAAAGGUUAAGAACAGUAACCACUUUUUUACUUGAUAGUUUAAUUAUCAGAUGAGAAAAUUCCCCUACUCACUCUUUUUUAACCCAGAAUCUAAUGGUGUGGUGUAGGUUUGUUCAUGGACUGGAUCAGUUUGAAAAAUGAGAGGAUUUGAGUAAAAAUAUAGGUUCGAAAAAUGAGUUUAGGCAAAAAAAAUAAGGUCUGUUUAGAAAAUGGGUUAGGUCUUGGGUAAGAUUUUUUUUUCUUGUCUGAGUUUGGCCUGACCUAAAUAUGCAAUUUUUUUAUUACUUUUUUUUACUAUUUUGUUGCUAUUUUCUUUUUUUUUUCAUUAUUUUGCUACCACUUCAUUGUUAUGUUGCUACUAUUUUGUUAUUACUGUUUGAAUAUUGUAUAACUCUUGUUCUAUUGUUAAUUUUGUUACUAUUUUAGAAUCAUUUACUUGUUAAGUUGCACCAAUCUUAGUAUUAUUUAAAUAUAUAUUUUUUAAAUUUAUUUUUAAUUUAUCGGGAAAUAUUUAUUUUAAUAUUUUUAGUAUUUUUGAUGUAUUAUAUAUAUUUUUAAAAAUAUAUAAAAAAUUAAUUCAGUCAAGCUAGGCUGAGCCAAAAUUUUAAUAUUUUUAUCCAAGUUGGGCUUGGACAAAAUUUCAAGCCUAUUUUUCAAGCCGAGUCGAAUCCAAGUCUAACAAACGGGCCUAAAAUUUUAAUUUGACUGACCCGACCCACGAACACCUCUAAGUGGAAUCCGACAAAUGAAAUGGGUGGAAAAGUCUCCCCACCCCCACACUCGAAUGACAUUUGGCGUGGACUCUCUUAGUGUAGUAAAGACCAAUCAUCCUUUCUCGUUCAUAAUGUGCUGCUCGAGGACACCCUUCAAGAAUAACAGCAAGAGGUUAGUACAAUAAUGGUGCCGUCGAUUGACCAAAUGGCACUCAUAAAAAAAAUUAUUUUUAAAAGUUUAUGUGACUGGUGGCUGGGGAGAGGGGUGUCAUCGAUUGGUCAUGCAACACUAUUUUUUUAUUGUAGCUUCUGCCUAGAUUUAUAAAUAUUAAUGCCUUUAUCUCAUUUCAGUAUUUAUUUAAUUAUUUUAUAUUAUUUAAGUAAAAAACCCUAUAUCUUUAUAAUUUCUUAAAAAUAUAAAUUUUUAUAAUUUCUGGGGUCAAAAUGUAACUUUACCAUUACUAAUUUAAAAUUUUAUAAGUUAUAAAAGAGUUAAAUGACAUUUUCUAUUUUAGGGGGUGUGCCCCCUGCCAGUCCUUAGCUUCGCCAUUGUUACCGAGAAACAUAUUACUCAUAAAGAAUAUUUAUGGGGUAGAACUAGACUUGGUCAUUGGUUGGGUACCUCGUAGACCUGCUUGAAAAGUGAGAGGGUUUGGGCAAACUAUAGGUCCAAAAAAUGAGUUUUAGCAAAAAAAUGAAGUCCAUUUAGAUGGGCCUCGAGUAAGCUUUUUUUGCUCGGGCUUGACCCAGCCUGAAUUUGGAAAAAAAAAUUGAUGUGUUUUGUUGUUGUUUCCAUUAUUUUGCUGUCAUUUCGCUAUUAUAUUGUUACUAUUUUGCUGUUGUUGUUUGGAUAUUGUCUAAUUAUUAUUUUAUUGUUAAUUUUUCUAUUAUCUUAGAUGCAUUUGCUUGUUAAGUUACAUUUAUUUUAGUAUUAUUUAUAGAAAAAUAUUUAUUUUAAUGUUUUUAGUGUAUUUGAUGUAUUAUAUUUGUUUUUAUAUAAAAAUAAUAUUAUAAAAAAUUUAAUACGGGCUGAGACAGACUUACGCAAAAUUUUAGACCCAUUUUAUGAAUUGAGAUGAGCAUAAAAAUGGACCUAAAAUUCUAUUGAUACCUAACUCUAACCCGAUCUAACCCAACCCAUAAUCACCUCUAGGUAGAAAUAAAAAUCUUAUGCUAAAAAUUAAAUUAAUGAUUCAAAUAGCAGUUACUAUUUUGUAGUUUUGAUUUGGAUUAAUGUAUCAUUGGUACAUGAGUUUGGUUUUAAUAUUCAAUUUAGCCUAUGAAACUUUUUAAAUAUUAAAUUGAUAUUUGAGUUUAGUUUUAAUAUUUAAUUUAGUAUUCAAAACAGAAGAUAUCAUGUGAUCCCGUAAAUGUUUGAUGCAUUUACUCUAAUGAAAAAGUAUAAGUAUCUAAGUAGAAUAAAAAAUAUUCAGCUAAUAAAUAGAAAAGAUAUCCAAAUACCAACUUGAAAAAUUAAACUAAAAUAAAGUAUGGAAAAUUAAAGAAUAAAAAUAGUAAGCUUAGCCAUGUUUUGCUUCAACAAUGUGAUGACUAGGGACACACCUUAAAGAAAGGAAAGAUCAUAUAACAGUCAAAAAUAGUAUUUAGGCUUUGGCAGAAUUUUGAAAUUACAAAAAUCCUAUCUCAUAGAAAACUCUACUUACACUCGGGGUUCUCUCUUUUAAUGGCACUUCGUUAGCACUUCUUCUAUUACAAAUACACUCAUAUUCUCCUUUGAGUUCCUCUCUAUCAUUUGAGAAUUUCUUUUCUUCUCAAAAUAUAUUUUCUCUUAGGUUUGCUCUCUAUCGGGUGUGAUUUAGAUCUUUACAUGUAUUAGUUCAUGAUUUUAUUUUAAUUUUUUGUAUGUUAUUGUUUUAUUUUUCUGAGAUUUGGUUAUAGAAUUUCUCUCUCUAUAUGUUUAGAUAAUUUGAUUUGAUAUUUUAUUCUAGUUAAUAUGAGAUUAAAAAAGAAUUUUUUAAUAAAAAUAAUGAAGGAAUUGUCACUUAUUUAUAGGGUAAAUGUGAGCAUAGGAGUAUCCUCUAGCCAAUGUGGGAUUAAAAUUAAAUUUUUAACAUAUUAAUGUUAAUUUUUAAUUAAAAUAGUGAAGUGAAAAAAUUAAUUUUUUUAAUAAUAGUAGUGAAAUAUUGUCACUUAUUUAUAAUGUAAUUGUGAGAUAUGACAAUGUUCUUUAAUUAAUUUGAGAUUAAAAUUUAUUUUUUAUUUAUUAAAUUAUUAGUUUAUUUGUAAAUUAAAAAAAUCUAUUAAAGAUGUUUACCAGAACUUUCUAGACUAGAAAAAUAAAAUAAAAUGUGGGAUUAAAAUUAAUUUAUAAUUUCUUAAAUAAUAUCUAAAAGGAUCUAUCUUAUGAAUUUAUUUGUAAAAUAAAAAAAUUCUGUCAAGAUGUUUUUCAAAACUUUUUAGAUUGAAAAAAUUAAAUAGUAGUUAUAGGUUAUUUUUGAACCAUUAAAAUAAUAUUAUUUUUCUCCAUCAUGUAAUAUAUUAUUAUAUAAAAUAGUUUUAAUAUAUAAUUUUUUAAAAAUAAAUUUCAAACAAAAAAAACUUUCGAGCAAUUAUGAAAAUAUUGAAGAAAUUUACACAUAGUUAUAGGAUAAAUGUGAGUUAUAAAAGUUGUAUAAAGAAACGUUACAUGUUGACAAAAUAGAUAUACCAUGUGUUAAAAAAUUAGACUGUCCACGUUAGUUGGGACCUAAAAUCUUAUAGUAUAUAAUAUAAGAUAUAUUUAAGUUUCUUCUAGGCUCUACUUGAACAAAGGAUUGAAGGAGUAGGAAUGAAAAUUUUGUCAAUCAAAGGUUAAGAAUACUAACCACUUUUUUACUUGAUAGUUUAAGUAUCAGAUGAGAAAAUUCCCCUAUUCACUACUCUAUUAAAAUUUCAAUAUUAUAAUACUCAAUAUCGUUUGAAAAUGAAAAACAAUAAAUUACAAUAAAACAAUAACCAAAUUAUCUAAACAUAUAUAUACAAAUUGUAUAACCAAAUUAAUUUUUAUAAUUUAUAAAAUUUUAAAUUAUAAUGGUAAAAUUGUACUUUAACCCUCUUAAAAACGAUAAAAAUUUUGAGGCUUUUUUAGGAAUAUGACCUUAUAAGUUUAAAAAUUAUAAAAAUGAUCCAACUUCGAGAUUAAUUAUAGGAAUGACUUGAUUUCUACAGUAGAGCUGGGUGUUGCCACUUUCUCAGGCGGCACCACACUAAACCCCCCCUAAGAAAAAUUCUUUUUGGUGCCGCCUAAAAAAUUGACGGCAUUGAAUUGAAGCAUGUAGGGGCAAAACGUUCAGGGACCUGAUAAAGUAAUUAUCUUUUUUAGAUUGGCUGAAAAGAGAGUAUCGCAUGAGAAUAUGGCGGCACCUAAUUAAACUUUUAGCCAAUUUCCAUGUUAAGUCUGUCCCAUUUUGAAAUUAAAUUUAAAUAGCCGUUAAAGUAUAUAAGAAUAACAAAAAUAAAUCACAUGAGAAUAUGGCGGCACCUAAUUAAACUUUUAGUCGAUUUCCAUGUUAGAUCUGUUCCAUUUUGAAAUUAAAUUUAAAUAGCCGUUAAAAGAUAUAAGAAUAACAAAAAUAAACCUUUCAAAUUUUUUUAAUUUUUUUAAAACAAUAAACUUAAAAAACUAUAUAAAAUUCUUAUUUAAAUUACCCAAUAUGCCCCUAAAAAAUUUCUUCAAGUUUAUCUAAAUUCAAAUAUGCUAGGGAAUGAAAAUAUUUAAAUUUAGAUAAACUUGAGGUAAUUUUAUGAGGGGCACAGUGGGUAAUUUAAAUAAAAAUUUUAAAUAGUUUUUUAAGUUUAUUGUUUUAAAUAAAAUUUAAAAUGUGAAUGAUUUAUUUUUGUUAUUCUUAUAUCUUUAAAGGGCUAAUUAAAUUUAAUUUCAAAAUGAGACGGACCUUGGAAAUAGACUAAAAGUUUAAUUAGAUGCAGCCAUACUCUCAUGCACAUUUUUUUUAUGUCAAUCUAAAAAGGGUAAUUACUUUAUUAGGUCCCUGAAUGUUUUGUCCUUGCAAGCUUUAGUUCGAUGUCAUCAAUUUGUUAAACGACACCAAAAAAAUUGUUUUUUUAUUUUAUUUUUAGGGUGGUGUCUCCUGGUAAAGUGGUGGCACCCAACUCUAUUAAAAAAAUUAAGUCUUUCCCAUAAUUAAUCUUGAAAUUGAAUUAUUUUCAUAAUUUUUAAAUUUACAAGUUCAACUUCUUAAAAAAGCCAAAAACUUAUAAGGUCAUUUUCAUAAUAUUUUUUAAACCUAGUCUGGCCAUGAUCAACUCUAGGUAGAACUAAAAGUCUUAUGCUAAAAAUCAAAUUAAGGAUUCAAAUAGCAGUUACUAUUUUAUUGUUUUGAUUUGGAUUAAUGUAUUAUUCGAUACAUGAUUUUGAUUUUAAUAUUUAAUUUGGUAUAUAAAUUUUUUUAAUUUUAAUUUGAUACUGGACACAUUUACUCUAAUGAAAAAAAUAUAAAUAUUUAACUAGGAUAAAAAUGUUGAAGUAAAAAAAAAAAUUCGAAUACUAAAUUAAAAAUUUAAACUAAACUCAAUUAUGACAAAAUAUAAUUUGAAAAAUUAAAGAACAGCAACAGUAAGUUUAGCCAUGCUUUCCCCCAACAAUGUGGCGACUCAGCUUAAAGAAAGGAAAGAUUAUAGAACAGUCAAAAAUGAUAUUUUUAGGCACAACAAUCAAAACCCAAAGCCAAGGUGGAAUUUUGAAAUUAAGAAAUCCUAUUUUAUAGAGAACUCUUCUUGCACUUGGUUCUCUCUUUCAAUGGCACUUCAUUAGCAUAUCUUCUAUUAUAAAUACACUUAUAUUCUCUUUCAGUUUCACUCUAUUGUUUGAGUUUCUCAAAAUCUAUUUUCUCUUAGGUUUGCUCUCUAUCUGGCUUGAUUUAGAUACUUAAAUGUAUUAAAUCAUGAUUUCAUUUUAAUUUUUUUAUAUGUUAUUAUUUUAUUUUUCUGGAUUUGGUCACAAAAUUUAUAUAUAUAUUUAGAUAAUUUGAUUUGCCAUCUCAUUCUGUAUGUUGCAUGAAUUCUGGGUUUUUUUUAUUUUUUUAUUAUACUUGUUUUGAUAAUUUUAUUUGGGAGAUAUAAGAAUUGUGUUUGUUUGGCUUUUGUAUAGGUUUUAAUAGUUCGGGGCAUUUUAAAGAUUAUUCAAGAUGGUGAGUUUAAUGAAUAUAUUAUGUUAUGUUCUUAAUUUUGUUGAAUUUGUUUUUAUUAAAAUAUAUUUUUGCUGUGAUUUUUUUUAAUGAUUUGUGUUAUGCUGGAUAUGAUUACAGGUGAAGUUUACAGCUGAGGAGCUCCGUUCUAUUAUGGACCGGAAACACAACAUCCGUAAUAUGUCUGUUAUUGCCCAUGUCGAUCACGGUAUGCCCUUUGUUCGUGCUUUGUUAUCGAUGAACCAUAAUGUAAAAAAGUAGAGUUUUUUUUUAAUAUAUUUGUAAUUGAUGAUGGUGUUUAUGUCAAUUUAAUGAAAUUUUAUUGAUUUUAAUAUGAAUUGUGUAUGCAUUGGUGUUAGAUUUUGGGAAGAUUGGUAGUAGUAGUAUGGAUGAUUAGCCUACGUCGAUUUUUAACUAUGAAAGCACCUUUGUGUACGAUUUUGUUGGCAUUGGUUCUGAUUUAGUUUUUCGAUAUGCAGGGAAAUCGACUCUUACUGAUUCUCUUGUCGCUGCUGCUGGUAUCAUUGCGCAAGAAGUUGCUGGUGAUGUACGUAUGACAGAUACUCGUGCCGAUGAGGCAGAGCGUGGUAUCACAAUUAAGUCUACCGGUAUCUCCUUGUAUUAUGAAAUGGCUGAUGAAUCUGUGAAGAGUUUCAAAGGAGAUAGGCAAGGGAAUGAAUACCUCAUCAAUCUUAUUGAUUCUCCCGGGCAUGUUGACUUCUCAUCGGAGGUUACAGCUGCUCUUCGUAUUACUGAUGGUGCCCUUGUGGUUGUUGACUGUAUUGAAGGUGUCUGUGUGCAGACCGAGACUGUUCUCCGUCAGGCUCUUGGAGAAAGGAUCAGGCCCGUCUUGACUGUUAACAAGAUGGACCGAUGUUUCCUUGAGCUCCAGGUUGAUGGAGAGGAGGCUUACCAGACAUUCCAGAGAGUGAUCGAAAAUGCUAAUGUCAUCAUGGCCACGUAUGAAGAUCCUCUUCUGGGUGAUGUUCAAGUCUACCCCGAGAAGGGAACAGUUGCGUUCUCUGCUGGUUUGCAUGGUUGGGCAUUUACCCUGACCAACUUUGCUAAAAUGUAUGCCUCGAAGUUCGGAGUUGAUGAGUCAAAAAUGAUGGAAAGACUUUGGGGUGAGAACUACUUUGAUCCAGCUUCCAAGAAGUGGACUACCAAGAGCACCGGCACUGCCAGCUGCAAGCGUGGAUUUGUUCAAUUCUGUUAUGAACCCAUCAAGCAGAUUAUAAACACAUGUAUGAAUGACCAGAAAGAUAAGCUCUGGCCAAUGUUGCAAAAGCUCGGUGUCACCAUGAAGUCUGAUGAGAAGGAUUUGAUGGGAAAGGCCCUAAUGAAGCGUGUAAUGCAGACUUGGCUUCCUGCAAGCAGUGCUCUCCUCGAAAUGAUGAUCUUUCACUUGCCUUCUCCUACUAAGGCUCAGAAGUACCGUGUUGAGAACUUGUAUGAGGGUCCUCUCGAUGAUAUUUAUGCUAACGCCAUCAGGAACUGCGAUCCUGAGGGUCCCCUUAUGCUCUAUGUUUCAAAGAUGAUUCCUGCUUCUGAUAAGGGUAGAUUCUUUGCUUUCGGACGUGUAUUUUCCGGCAAAGUUGCAACUGGUAUGAAGGUCAGAAUCAUGGGCCCAAACUAUGUUCCAGGUGAGAAGAAAGAUUUAUACGUUAAGAGUGUACAGAGAACUGUUAUUUGGAUGGGAAAGAAGCAGGAAACCGUUGAGGAUGUGCCUUGCGGUAACACAGUUGCUAUGGUCGGCUUGGAUCAAUUUAUCACGAAGAACGCAACUUUAACUAAUGAGAAGGAAGUUGAAGCCCACCCAAUUCGUGCUAUGAAGUUCUCUGUCUCACCUGUUGUCCGCGUUGCUGUUCAGUGUAAGGUUGCAUCCGAUCUUCCCAAACUCGUUGAAGGGUUGAAGCGUUUAGCUAAGUCUGAUCCUAUGGUGGUUUGUACUAUUGAAGAGUCGGGAGAGCACAUUGUUGCAGGCGCUGGUGAACUCCAUCUCGAGAUCUGUCUCAAGGAUUUACAAGAAGAUUUUAUGGGUGGCGCUGAGAUUGUUAAAUCGGACCCUGUUGUGUCUUUUCGUGAGACUGUACUUGAGAGAUCUUGUAGGACUGUGAUGAGCAAGUCUCCUAACAAGCACAACCGUCUCUACAUGGAAGCUCGACCCCUGGAGGAAGGUCUUGCUGAGGCCAUAGAUGACGGGCGUAUCGGUCCAAGAGAUGACCCCAAGGUACGUUCCAAGAUCUUGGCUGAGGAGUUUGGUUGGGACAAAGAUCUUGCUAAGAAGAUUUGGUGUUUUGGCCCCGAGACCACUGGUCCUAACAUGGUUGUCGAUAUGUGUAAAGGAGUUCAGUACCUUAAUGAAAUUAAGGAUUCUGUUGUCGCUGGGUUCCAGUGGGCAUCAAAGGAAGGUGCACUCGCCGAAGAGAACAUGAGAGGUAUCUGCUUCGAAGUCUGUGAUGUGGUUCUCCACGCUGAUGCAAUCCACAGAGGUGGUGGUCAGAUCAUUCCAACUGCUCGCCGAGUUUUCUAUGCAUCUCAGCUUACGGCCAAGCCAAGGCUUCUCGAGCCCGUUUACUUAGUCGAGAUCCAAGCUCCUGAGCAAGCACUUGGUGGUAUUUACAGUGUUCUUAACCAGAAACGUGGACACGUCUUCGAGGAAAUGCAGAGGCCUGGAACACCACUCUACAACAUAAAAGCUUACCUUCCAGUCAUCGAGUCAUUCGGAUUCUCCAGCACACUAAGGGCCGCAACAUCAGGACAGGCUUUCCCACAAUGUGUGUUCGAUCACUGGGAUAUGAUGCCAUCGGAUCCAUUAGAACCCAAUUCUCAGGCAGCAAACCAUGUUGCGGAGAUCCGCAGGAGGAAGGGAUUGAAGGAGCAAAUGACCCCGCUUUCCGAGUACGAAGACAAGCUGUAAGCUAAAGAAAAAAAUGAAGGGUAUGGGGGUGCUUUCUCUCCCAUUUGUCAAUUUAGUUUUUCCUUAGAUUAUGUUUUUCUUUUUUUCAAUUUUCUUACAAUGAAUCGGAUAAUUGUCAUGGGAUGUUACAAUUUUCAUGUUUUUUGAAUGGUAUAUCACAUAAUUCCAAUCGACAUUGAUGGUGUUAAAAGCUAUAAUUUUGAUGUUUGGUUUGCUUCUAAUUGUAAUUUUCUGUGUUGGUAGGUUUGAUUUUAAAAUAAAUAAGUUAUUGUGGUUCAAUUUUGAAAUAAAUAAAUUUUUGUGGCUCGAUAAUAAAAUAUGUUUUGGACGUUUAAAAAUAAAAAUUAAAUAAAUUAAAGGUGGCUAAAAAUUAAUUUAUAUAACCGCGUUAAAUAUUUUUAAAAUUAAAAGUGAAUUAAUAUAAUUAAUAAAUAUUGAGUGAUUAUUUCUGUAAUUUUUUAUAUGAGUGAUUAUUUUAUAUUUUGUUAUAAAUAUUGAUAAUUAAAGUUAAAUAUUUUUAUAAUUAAGAUUGAAUUGAUAUAAAUAUCAAUUUCAAAAAAAGUUGUGGUUUGCUAGUUGAGUAGAGUUGAUCAUGGGGUGGAAUGAGUCAAGUUUGGGUCGGGUCAAGUAAAAAAUUUAGGUUAGCUUUCUAAGUUUGGACUAGACUCAACCUGACCUAAAAAAUGGACUUAGAAUUUUACUCAAGUUCAGUUUGGAUAAAAAUGUUAAAAUCCAAGCACAGCUUGUCUUUCCCAUAUUAAAAUUUUUAUAUUAUUUUUUAUAUAAAAUAAAAUUAAAAAAUAUAACACAUCAAAUGUAACGACUCAAAAUUUACGGACAUCGAGAAAGUGUAGUAUCGGGCCUCCGUCUUAGAAAAUUGAACCUCUAGAUAAUUAUUAGAAAUACCUAUGAGUUUAGUAGUGUGUUUAAUUAGGUUUUAAUUAGGUGAUUUAGCUUAAUUUAGGAUAAUUAGUAAAAAGGACUAAAUUGAGUAAAUGAUAAAAGUUUAAUUAUAGAUUAAAAGAAAAUAUAAAGGAUCAAAAUGGCAGUUAAGCCUAUUUAAGAAUUUGAGGCGGUAAUUACUUCAUAAAGAUUUAAUUAUAUAAAUAUUUUAAUAAAUUAUAAUGAAUAUUAUUAUUUUAUUAGAUAAUAUAAUUUAUAUUAAUUAAAAUUAUGAUAUUAUAUUACAGAUUAAAUCAAAUAGUGACAAAUGUAGGGUGAUAAAGUUGUACAUACGUAGUAAUAUAUGUAUAUACAUUUGUAUCAUAAUUAUUUAUUUACUUAAAAAUUAAGUUAAAAAGAUAUUUUGAUAAAUUAUAAUUAUAAUUAUUAUAUUAUGAAAUAAAUUAAAUUAAAGACAAAUGUAUGGUGAUUAAAUUAAACAUGUGUAAAAUAUAUAAAAACAUAUUUUUAAUAAAAUAAAAUAUUUUCUUAUAAUUUAAGUAAAAGAUAUUUAUGAAUUAAAUAUUAUUAUAUUAUUAUUAUGUAUUAUUAUUAUUAUUAACUAAUACAUAAAAGAAAUAAAGUAAAAGAAUAAAAGAAACAAAGACCAAUCGAAAUAGAGAUGCUCAUGGGCCGGGCCCUACCUGAAAUAUGAGAGGGUUCGGGUAAAAAUAUAGGCCCAAAAUAUGGGUUUGGGCAAAAAAUGAGGCCUGUUUAGAAAAUAGGCUGGGCCUCGGGUACCACUUUUUGGCCCAGGCUCGGCCCGGCCCGAAUAUAAUAAAUAUAUAUUUUUUAAUUUUUUAAUUUUAAAAUAUUUUUAAAAUAUUUUUUAUUUUUAUUUUUAAAAUAAAUUUUUGGUAUUUAUUAAAAAAUGGGUCGGGCCGGGCUGGGCUCAGACUUAGGAAUUUUUUCCCGGGCCGGGCAUGGACAAAAUUUUAGGCUCAUAUUUCGGGUCAGGCCUGGGAUGCGGGCCCAAAUUUUUUUGGGCCCGACCCAAACCUGGCCCGGCUUAUGAGCACCUCUAAUUCGAAUCAGGGGAAGGAAAAAGAAAGAAAGAAAAGAAAAAGGAAAAACUAAGGGUUAAGGUUUAAAGCUUUGAUUGGUAAGUCAAUUAAGCCCUUUUUACUUAAUUUUGAUGUUUUAGAAGUUUUAAAACAAGGUUUUGAUGGAAUUAAGUUGAUAUUUUGUAAGUUCAUAGGUUUUCAAGUGUAGCUUAUGUUAAACAAAAAGAUGAAUUAGGGAUUUAAAUGAAUGAAAUUCAAGUUAGAAUAGAUAAAGGGAUUAAAUUGUAAAGUAAGCUAUAAGUUUUAUGUUGUAGGGACUAAAUUGAGGAAAAUUUGAAAUUAGUGAAAUAUGCUGAAAAUUUAGUAGUUAAAUUUGAGUUUGGAUGAAAUUUGAAUAGAAAUGGAGUGUGAAUUAAAUUAGAAAAGUCGAUAAAUCUAGUUAGGACUAAAUUAGAAUUAAAGUAUAAAUUAGAUAGAAAUUCUACUAUUAUUAUAAAUUAACGUUGUAAUUAAUAGUGUAAAUUUUUUUUUUGUAGCUAACAAGGAACUCGAGGCAUCGGCACACAAAGGAAAUGAGAAGAUUAUUGAGGAAUAAUUGAGCAAAUUCGGGUUUGUAUUACUAUAAUUCAAAUCUAUUUAUUAUUAAUUGUUAUAUUUUAAUUAAAAUGCAUGGUAAGUAAAAUUAGGUAAGCAAUUGAAAUGAUAAUAUUGUUUUGAAUGGAGUUGAUUUCAAGUGAAUAUGAUUAUUGAAAUUAAGUAUUGAUAGUGAUUUGAAUUGAAUCGAAGUGUGAUUAUAUAUGAAUAUCUGAAAUAUGUAUUGUUAUUGAAUUGUAUAUUUACAAAGUGGAAAGUGAAUUUGAAUUGAAUUGUGAUUGAAUCGAAAGUGAAUUUGAAAUUGAGAAAGUGAUUCAAAUACCCUAUUAACUAAUCGGGCGUAGUCAGAUAUAAUUGGCAUGCCAUAUGAUUUGGGAAGAGUACAGGAUUUAUCGGCUUAGCCGAUCAGGCACUAUAUGUGUCGUAUAUUAGGUACUUUAUGUGUCGUAUUUCAGGCACCUCGUGUGUCGUAUCAGGCACCUCGUGUGUCGUAUCAGGCACCUCGUGUGUCGUUUCAAGCACUUAUGUGUCGUAUACUGAUUAGGUACUAUGUAUCGUUUUAGGCACAAUGUGUUGUACUGGUGUGUUUGGGUUGGAAUCCAUGUAUCCAUCAAACUCCAGAUUAUUAAUAGGGUGAAUAACUAAAAUGAGAAAUUUAUAUGAAUCUGAUUGAUAUACGACACAUAAGUAAAAAAUGAAUUGAAAAUGAAAGAAAUGAGAAAUUUAUUGAUCGUAUUAUUGAAAAUAUUGAAAGAAAUGAGAAAAAUGAAUUGUGGAUUGAAAUUGAAAUUGGAAAUGGAAAACAUGAACUAAAUGUUCAUGUAGUAAAUGUAAUUAAAGUUAUGACAUAUGAUUAAAAUUGAUGCAUAGUUAAAAGUGUAUUGUUAAUACUAAUAUAGUUUAAGAAUGGAUUAAUGUAAGAGAAAUUCAAUUGUUAUAUACUUGAUAUUUAUAUUUUAUUAUGGUUAUUAUAGUUUGAAUUAUGGUAAUACCACUGAGUAUAAAAUACUCAGCAUACAGUUGUUUCCGUGCGCAGGUUGAAAGGAUUCCAGAGUCUCGGUUCAGCAUCCAGAACGAUCCCGACUCCAGUAUAAAUUUUGGUGAUGUUUUCUCCCUUAAUUGAAAGUGGCAUGUAAUAGGAGUUGUAUAGAGAUUAUAUAGAUAUGCUUAUAAUGUUGGUUGUAAAAAUGGUAUACCAUAUUUUGAUAUUAGUUUAAUAAAAUGGUAAAAAUUAUAUUAUAUAAUUUGGCAUUAAGUUAGAAUGGAAAAUAAAUGAAGUUAUUAAUUAAUUUUAAAUGAUAUUAUGAAUGUUUAGUUAUUAAAAUACUAUGUUAAUGAAUUGGUCAUGAUUUAGGUAUAUUUGAGUUUAAAUUGUUUUUGGUUGUGCCAUUAGAUUUAGAUUAGUUGUUGUUUGAAAAUUGUAGGGAAUGUUAGAUAUUUAUAAAAGGGAUAUAUUGAGUUCAAAAAAAAUUUUAUAAUACUCGAACAAGUCCUGUUCCAUUUAUUAUAUGUGAUUUAACCUCGAGAGUCCACUAAAAGGGGAUUUUAUGAUUUAAUUUUUAUAUGUUUAUUAUUUACUUGUGAAUUGCUCGUAAAUUGACCGAUAUAUUCUGUAAUGCCUCGUAACCCUAUUCCGGCGGCGGUUUGAGAUUAGGGGGUGUUACAUCAAAUACACUAAAAACAUUGAAAUAAUUUUUCCCAACAAAUGGAAAAAAAAUUGUACUUAAAUAACACGAUGCAACUUAGGAAGCAAAUUACUCUAAAAUAGUAGCAAAAUUAAUAAUAAAACAAGAGUUAUACAAUAUUUAAACAAUAAUAACAAAAUAAUAACAAUAUAAUAGUGAAAUGACAGCAAAACAACAACAAAACAGUAAAAAAAGCAACGGUUUUUUUUUUUUACAAAUUCUAACCGGGCUUGGAUAAAAAUCAAGAUAUAUAUGUCAUGUGAUCUUAUGUAUUAAAAAGAUAAACCAGGUCGUGUGGGACUUAAUUAUUCAUAAUUAAAAUUUUUAUAGUAAAAAAUCAAAAUAUUAAAAAGUUUAAGGUAGCUUCCGUAAUUUUCCCUUCCUCUUCAAAAUGGCUCAUAAACACAGAAUUUAAAAUGCCAAAUAGCAAGCCCACGACUCCAUUUUCUGGAGAAAUGGAACGCAAAGAUAAUCAAUCUCCUCAAGGUACGCAUUUUCUCGCUUUUUAUUUGAUUUUUUUUUAUUUUCUAUACUAUUUUUAAGCGAAUUUAUUUUAUAUUUAUUUAAUUAUAGGUGAAGUUGCUGGGAUUUUGGUUGAAUUCUUGGAGGUAGCUAUCACUUCAGUCGUUUACCUCAAAGGAAUUUAUCCUUCCGGUAUAUUGCAAUAUGUUCCUUUUAUUUCUCGUAGAAGUUUAGGGCUUUUAUAUGCAUUUUUUAUUCCUUAACCAAAUUCAACUUAUAAAUUUGUGCUUGGGAAUUCUUUUGCUGAAGAUUAGACUGAAUGGGUAUUUAGUUAAUUAGCAAAGAGUGAAAAAUGGUGCAAUUGGGAUUGUUAGCAUUUGUCUAAAUUUUAUAUUAUUAUGAAUUUUGCUAUCAAACGCUCAAAGUCACUGAAACGAGUGUGAGUGUGAGAUACGAGUAUGUCUUGACGGUUUCUAUAAGUAGUAUUGAACCAACCUUAAAAGAGUGUUCUAGAAGUACUCUUGCAAAACCCUGUUAUUAUUAAUUUUCAAGUUAAUUUUGUGUACUUUAUCCAUUACUUGUAGUGUAGGUUUUGUAACUUAGAGUUGAAGGAAAUUUAUAGAUUUUUAUUGAUUACUGUGUUUAAAUUCGAAACUGAAAGUGUCAAUUUCUAAUGGUUGAAGCCUUUUACGGUGUUACCACGUUCUAUACAUAUUCGUUGUCUGGGUUUAUUUUUAUGUUAAUUUCAUGUCAGUAACUCGUGUUCGAUGUUUUGUUGAAGGUGCUUUCGAGAGAAGAAGGUAUAUGAAUGUUGUCGUACAAAGGGCUCGACAUCCCCAGCUAAGAGAAUAUAUCCAUUCCGCUGUUUCGGGACUUCUUCCUUCCAUCCAAAAGGUUGGUUUGAUUCAUUAGAUGUUGUUUGACUAGUGUUUUUUUAGCGUAUUCGGAUGUCUAUAAUGUUUUGUGAUGAUCUGAUCUGAUUUAUUUAGAUGUGAAAAUGUGUGUUCUAUGUUGCAUAUUAUGUUCUAGUGUUGUGAUGAUGAUAUUCUUUGGUAGUGUCCGUCAUAUUGAUCAAAACGAAGAGAGAUUUACUACUUUAAUAACAUGAUUGAUUCACUAAAAGAUCGAACUGACUUGAAAAUUUUAGUUCUUAUUAUCUUUUUGAGAGCCAAAACGAACCCAAAAUAUUGCUGUUAUAUGAACCAAACAAACAUUAGUCUAAGUGAACUUACGUAUUAACUCGAUGAUUCAUAGCUAUUCUCCUUCGACUCUACAUUUUUCUUGAAGUACUCGUGUCUAAUAUAUAUAUCCAUAUCUAACAUUUGCACUUAAUUCCAAGUAAAAUAGCUUUAUAGCAUAGAAAACUAAGGACUAGAAAUAAUACUUUGAGCUAUGUGAUAAAAUUUAUUGAUCUGGAGAUGAUUUUCUCCAACUUCUACUUUACAUUAGUAAAGGAAGUUUUUUUAUCGAUGGCAUUGAUUAUAUUUAAUUCUCGGAAACCCUCUGUGCAGCUUUAAAAAUGGAUUCUGAUGAAAUAUAGCUUCAACAUAAAUACUUGACAUGUGAAAUGCUCGUCUUUAUAAAUAGGGUUUGGUGGAGAGAGUCGCAGUUACUUUUUUCAACACAGACAACAUUCCCAUGGAGAGGUUUAUCUUCAAACUAAUGGUUAAUCAAUCUUUUGGCUCAAAAGUGGAAGAAAGCGAUCUAGAAUUCUCUCUUCGAUCAUUCUUGAUCAAACUUUCGGUUUCCCAACCCCUUACAACAGUUCUUCCCCGUGGUAAGUUUAAUUAAGCCUAGUUAAUCGGAUCUUAACAUGUUCACUUCAUGGAAGCAAGAAUUUGGCUUCCAUGUUACAGUCUUACUACAUAAUUUGCCUAUGUUGCGACUUAUUAACAGAUUGCAGAUGGGAGAUCAUGGCUUACUUCCGGUCGCUCCCUCAGGUUAGUACGAGCAAGGAUGCGGAAAUGUGGAUCCCAACUGACACAAAACAAUGGCAACAACCUCCAUUAAUAACACCGAUCAAGUCGAUGAACAGUGAACCUCUGGGUUUGCAGUUAUACUUGGAACACCCUAGCCCAGCUGAACAGGUUUCUGGGUAAACUGGUGUGAGUUUUGGGACAUUAUGUUGUUUAUGUUAAUAUACACUUCAAAAAUGGAGUGGGGUGACCUCAAAACUUUUGGAAUGAGGAAGAAGUAGGUAAACUACCAUGGAGGUCCCUAUACUAGGAGUGAGAUUGUAUUUUACUUUCUCUACUCAAAAAAUGGACAAAUUAGUUCAGUACGUUAAAUUAUAGAGGAGAUUGAUCUUUUUGUUAAAAAUUCCUUCCAUUUCUACAAUUACAAAUUUGUCCAUAUACAUCAACAUGAGCUAUAUAUGGUACAUCAUGUGUCACUGUCUGAUUAUUUCGUCAAUUAAGUCAAUUUUUAACAAUAUAAUGGAAGGAAUUUUUAACAGAAAUGACUAAUUUAUUUUUUAAUUUAAUGUACGGGGGCUAGAUUGCUCAUUUUUUGAGUAAAGGGGACAAAAUACAAUUUAACUUUUAGUACAGGAGCCUCCAUAAUACUAAUACUUUUAUCGAAGAAGAAUGGGCUUUUAAGAAUGGAAAUGAGGUGGUCAACAUAUGUUAUCUUUUAAGAGAGAUUGACAAUAGGGCUGUAAAUGUAGAUAGUGAUCUAUAAUGUACCAUUUUUAUUUACAUUAAUAAAUAGUUUGAUUUCAUAUGUGUAUAUAUAUGAAGUUUAGAAUUAUAAUUAUAAAUAAUACAUGUCUGAAUUAACUAUAUUAAAAUCAUAAUAUAAAACAUAAUUGGACUAAAGAGUCGGAAUAAAUUUAGAUCUAAACCAAUAAAACUUUUUAUAUGAUGAAAUUUAAACUUCAAAAUAAAAAUAACAUAUAAUGAGACUUGAAAUUGAAAUAUCAGGUUUAAACUUAGUCAAUCAAAAUCUCGUAGAAUGGUGUUUUUGUCCAUGAUGCAUUUUACUCUUUUAAGGAUGUUUGGAUCACGGAAUUUGCUCUAAAAACAUAACAAAUAACAUACUUUAAUAAAAAAAAUAUAUUUUUUGAAAGUCCUAAAUGCUUAUUGCUUGUCAGUUUCAAUUUAUUUAUAUGGAAAAUGAGAUACAAAAUUGAUUUAUUGAAUAGAAAAAUACAUUUAUUUAUCAGUAAAUAAAAAUGCUAUAAGCUUCAAUCAUUUUAUAUCUUUUUAUAGUAAACAAUAAUAAUAAUAAAAAAAACUUAAGUUGCUGCCACUCGAGCCCCAGCUUGACAAUUACAGACUAAUUUGAGGGUUUUUUAUAAAUAAAAACCAAAGCAUAAAUGUCUGUUUUACCCUCUCCAAAUCUGUUGAAUUUAUCAGAAAAUUCACCCAAAGUCAUCAAAAUCAAAAGAUCCCUACUAUCCUUUCAUUUCAUCUCUGCAAAAUGAAAACUCAAACAUGGAGAAAACUAUAUAUAGAUAUAAAAAGGGGAAAAGGAAGACCAUGAAAGAACCUUUAAGCCCAAAGAGUGAAUUUCCUAAAAUACUUUUUAACUAUUUACAGACAAUGUACUCAUUCUUUUACAGACACGUAUGGUGACUUGUGUUCUGUUUCAUACUUCAACGAUGAAAUCCGGUCUGGUUUCCAAUGGACUGGGUUCGACAAAACAGCUUACGCUGGUUGGAACAGCUCUUGUCCUGGAUUUAGCAGGAAAAGAAACCACCAAGUUGAGAUUGAGAAAACUGACCAGGAACAAGCUAAUUCAGGAUAAUGGACAUACAAAACCACAACGAUGAUUCCUGCAGAGACGAAAACAUAAAACUCGUCAGACGUCAAAAGACCAAUGGUGAAAACUAAAUUUCAUGUUGAUGAAUGUUUGUGUAAGAAUAAUAAAACAUAAACGAGACGGACAGUUACAGUACUGUUGACUGGUCUGUGCAGGUUCCAUUAGGCUUAAAUCCAUAUCGUGAGUCGCUGUCCAACCAGGUUCAUAUGCUUCAAGAAAACCGAUCUUGGCCUUAUUAGGUAGAUCGUGGGGAUGAACGAAUGGCACUCCGUGAGGCCACCCAAUUUCCAUUCUUAUAUUGGCACAUGGACUAUCAAGUGCAUGAAUGUGAUUCUCACACUCUUUUAGAUUACAAAACCGUAAUUUGAUGCCCUUCUUAUCCGCAAUCUCCAGAACCCUUUCCUUAAGCACUCUUUGUGCUUCGAGCCGUAAUCUCUUGGAAGGAGGUAGAGGCUUGCAUCUCGUAUUGUUCUUCCGUCUUCUCAUCAAUGGCUUCAUAGAUCCUGUACCAGCAUUUAAUUGAUCUAAGGACGUGUUGUUAAAAACUUCUCACCAAGGCUACUUGGGAAAAAGAAUAACAUAAAUAAUCAAAUAUAUUGUACCGAACCGCUAUAAAACCUAUAUCUCAUAUUUUUAUUUUUCAUAAGGCCAGAACAAAACAGUGUAAGAAAAUGCUGUGUCAUAUUAAGAAAUACUGCCUACCUUCAUGGGCCGGGGGGUAACUGAAAUUCGGGAAAGUGUUUCUAUUAAAGAGCUGAUCUGUUGGGUGAGAUCUCUGCAUGAAAUCAUCCACUGGUAUAGGAAGCUGGAAUUGAGCUUCAACUCCGUGACCAGCUGCUCUCAUCUCUGAGCAACUAAGACUGGUCAUAGAUUUGGGCAUGAGUUUGAAAACCAAAGAGCAUUUUCCAUACAUAUUACCCGACAUAUUAUUAAUCUCGGUACGAUGCAGGGCAGGAUUUACGUAACCUGCAGUCGCUUGGUAAAGUGCGAGUCCGGGAUAAACAACAGCUUCUUGAGGACCAAGGUCCCCAUCUAAAAGAAUCCACCGACCUUGAAAAUCCCGUACAUGAAAACCUGCUUUAUCGGACUUAACAACAGAUAUUAAACUUUUAUCAACCUGGUGCUCAUGGUCGGGAACCAUGAUCAGUUGACCAUCGUCCUGUGUUGUUAAAUUGUUGUGUUGUGCCCCUGGGAACGAAGGCCUUGCAUGACAACAAACAGAUAAUACUGAAGAAGAAAUUUCCCGGCUUCUUAAGGGUACAUUAUCGAGUAUUUCAGUAAAGGGAGAGCUACGCAAGUUCAAGUAAUAGCUAAUCGCAUCCAGUACAUCUCGAGCUGCCUUACUGAGCAAGCCAAAUAUAUCAGGCAAACCACCCGGAGGAAACUCCAGUCCAUUGAUAGGGUCUGUAGGAGUUAGACCAGGCCGAUAAUCAUACGUUUCCUGCCAUAGUUGGGGGUCGGCACAGUAACCUGACGUUUUGCACCACUCACGAGAAUCAUUUGUGUGAAUCAGCUCCUCUGGUGGGUAUGCAGCCUUUUGUUGGAAGUAAAGGCGAGCAGAAUCUAAACCGGAUCUCAGUAGAGCUCCAUCACUAGCUGGAAACUGAAUGAUGGCAGCUGAAUAUUGAGCAAAUGAUUGUGAUAGAGUAGAGACUGAUAGCUUGUAAGAAUCUGAAGGAAUGCCUUCAGAAGGUAUGAGAUCAGUAAGCUUUACACGACCCAGAGAUGGCAGGCCAUUGCCUGCCAUUAAAAUCUUUCAACUACCAGUUACGUUAUUUCCAACUAAAGGUUAUAUCACCUAUCGACAAUACAAAUUAAAAUCGGCAUAAAUCAAAGGAUUUAAGACAAUAUUAUUUGUCAUACAGAAAAUGGAAUAUAAAUAAGAAAUAACGAUACCGCAUUGCAAACAAAUAGAAGCACCAAAAGUUAUUCCAGAUUAGUCCCUCUAUUAUAUGAACCGGAAAAAUACUGGCUCAUUUUGAAAUUUUCGUAGUGGAUAAUCAAUGGAAACUAAACUGAAAUAGAUUUCCGGGUGAAAGUACCUGCCAAGUCCCUUUAUUAUAUGAACUGGAUCACAUUAGUCCCUCUACUAUUAAAUGUAUCAAUUUAAUCCCUAUACUAUUAAAAAGAAUUAAAUAAAGCCAAUUUGUAACAAAGUUAACAUUUACUGUUUAAAAAAUGAAAUGAAAUUUUUUUUUCCCAUUUGCAGUUCAACUCCAAACAGAAGAUUUAAUUUCAAAACCAUAAAAAUAUUUCAAAAUGUUAAUGACAUCCUUUUAGUUGAUUCCUUUUAUUAGUGCAGGGACUAAAUUGAUCCAUUUAAUAAUAGAGGGACUACUAUGACCCGGACCCUAUAACAUAGCGACAACAUUCACCUAGAUUUCCGCCAUUGCAGCUAUAAUACUCCAAGCUAAUUUUUAGACUGAUUUGCCUAAUAAAUUUCAUAAUGAAUUUGGGAACUGAACAAAAUACUCGCUUUUAGAACCCUAAUUAUAUUUCUAAAACUCUAAUCAAAUUUGUAAAAAAUAUUUCAUAAUGCCUUCAAUCACAUGCCAUCAAAUAUUCCAUUUACAAAGAAAUAACAGCAAAAAAAGGAAGUGAAUUUGCUUUGAAAUUUAAUUUUUUUAUAAUUAAAAAGAAAACAAACCCAAUUCAUGAAAUCAAACAAGAAUUAAAACAAAGAAAUACCCAUCAAAGAUCAACAUACAAAAUUCAUAUUUCACAAUUAAGGAAAAAGAAAGAACAUGCCUUUGAUUGAUUGCAGCGUCUUACUGAUGCUAAAGCAAACGAAGCGAAAUAGUUAAUUGGAAGCUGAAAUGGGUAAAGCUGUGACUGCGAGAAACAAAAGAUGGUUAGGAAAAGAUUGAAUCUUUCCCGAGAAAAUCAGCAGCGAAAUUCUUUUGUUUAUCAAUGGAAGAUGCUUCAUCAUGGGCCUUGCUUGGUUAGAUUUGGGCUUGGAAGAGAUUAGUAUCACCUAGUUUACCACUCCAGAAUUUUUAAUUAUUAUAAAUUAAUUUUUCAAGAUUGUUUAUAAACAUUAGUUUUAUUUUUUUUAUUUAUUAAAAUAUGAGAUUUAUUUCUCUAAAAUUAUUUUUCAAAUAUUAAUUCAACUUCAUCACUCGCUAAUAACAAUGUCGAAUUUGAUUAAUUUUAACAUUUUUCAUUGUUAUACAUAAUUUUAUCUAUAAAUUUUUUUAAAAUAUAUUAUUAAUUUUUUAAAAAAAUAAAAAGAAUAUAUAUAAUCAAAAUCCUAAAAAAAUAACAAAUACGUAAUUAAAUUAGAAUAUAAAACAACAUUUUAUUUGAUUGUGUUUAAAAUAAAUUUCAUGAUUUUGUAAUUAGAAAACACAUUGUAUGAAAAUAAUGAGAAUAAAUAACUCGAAAUUAUGGCCUAUUGAUCGAUGUUCAUUCACUCAAAAAUAAUUUAAGAUUAACUUGUACCAAAGAAUAAUGAAAAUAAAUAAAUAAAUAAUUAAUCUUAAAAGGUACCUUUUUAAUUUAAUUUUUUUAAUCACAGUCUUAUGUUUAAAGUUAUAUCAGAAGUACAAUUACUUUUUAGCAUACUAAAUAUGGAAAUCAGUGUUUCACCGAUUAAAUUAUUUAAAAAUAAUCAUACCAAACAUACUUAAAGCUUAUCAAGCCUAUUUUUACAUGAAAGAAACGGUAUAGACAAAGGAAUUUUAUAUUUUGAGAUAUUUAAAUUUUAGUGUGACAGGGUCAGAAUGGUUUUUGAAGUCCCCUGUUCUGACUUUAGAAAAUCAUUAUAAAUUGUACAGAGAGAAUUAUGGGUCAUAAUUUAUAUGUCUAGAUUCAAAUAGUGAGUCUAUUUUCAAAAUAAACAAACGAUAACCUUAUAUGAAUUCUGUAAAAUGAGAUAAUUAAUUUUUAGUGCCAAGAGGUCAGAACUGUUUAGUAGUGAAACAGGGGAGACUUUAAUGAAUAAACUGUACUAAUUGGCUAAACCAAAAAUUCUAAAAAUUUUAUGGUAAGAAGGUAUUUGAGUCUAGUUUCAGGAAAAAUUUACGGAUUUAAAUUUUGAGUUUUGUAACUCAAGAUAUAAUUAAAUUAGUGACAGUGGCGCAGGUGGAUAGUUUUGUUGUGAACAGUAAAUUUAAUUUUAAAAGUAAAUUUUUAUGCUCCGAAUUAAUAAGUUAAAUUGGAUGAUAUCUCGUACUCGAUUCCGGCGAUGGUCUAGGAUAAGGGGUGUUUCAGCUUGGAUUGGGUUUAGGUGAAUAGUGGGCCUAUUUAUAUAUUAUAAUUUUAUUUAUUAAUUUUUUCAGUUAAACCGAAAAAUUCGGUUAACCGACCAAUUUCGAACCGAAUUAACCGUUAACCAAAAAUCAAAAAAUAAUUAACCGACCCCCGAUCAAAAAAAUUCUGUUAACCUACCGAUUAACCAAAUUCAGUCAGUUAACCGAAUUUUUUCUGUUUUACCCGAAUUUUGCACACCCCUAAGGUAAACUACACUCAAAGUCACUCUAAAAUAGAAUUUGUCCACUCUAAAUUUUUUUCAAUUUGAUCACUUUAAUUAAGAUAAUUGGAUGCGUGGCAACUAUCAACGACAUCCACAAAUAACUAAAGAGGAAUGAACAUAUAUAAAUAAGAAUGGAUGUAUGGCAUGGGUAAUGCAAGGGCAAGGGCAAAAGCUUCAACCUGUAUAAUUCGUUAUAUGCAGGCAAUUCGAAUUUUGGGGAGCUAAGCCAAAAUUUGAAACAAUAACCUCAUGUUGAGAUAUUUUGCUAUAUUAAAAGAGUUUGGGUGCACACCUACAAGAUUUUACACCAUUUAUUUAUUUAUUUAUUUAUAGGAUAAAUUAUACCACGUCUAUAUGUAUAUUGUCCUUUUUCUCUUUUGAUCAUUUAACUAACAAUUUUUUUAAAUUUGGUCAUCCAACUAAACAAGAGUUUUUUUUUUUGUCCAUUUCCAUUAAGUGUUGCUAAAUCUCUUACAACAGGAUAACGUAGCAAUUAAAAAAGUAAUAAAUAACAAAUUUAGCCCUUAAUUUUUACAUAUUAUAUCAAUUUUAGUCAAAAAUUUAAAAAAAAUUAACCCCUCAAAGUUUACAAAUGGUCUCAAUUUGAUUCUCAUAUUUUUUAAAUAAUUUUUAAUUUUAAAAAUAAUUUAUAAAAUUUUAAAUUUUAUAAAAUCAAUUAAAUGCUGUCAUGUCAUCUACGUGGCAAUCCACGAGUAUGCCACAUUAGCAAAGUUAACAAAUUAUCAAGGAGUUACUUCUAUUGGUUUGAUUGUAAUUGCUAUUAUCAAUGAGUUGCUUUGUUUUCAUUUAGGUUCUAUGUUUGCAAGUCGAAAUUAACAUAUGCUAUGGAGGCUUGUCUAGAUUAUGAAUAAGAGCAUAUUAAGAGCAUUUGUAUUUAUUCAUUCAGGAAUUGUUUGGUGUGAGAGUACAAAUUGAAUUGUAAACAUUGUAAAAAGUCCUAAAGAAUGCGGGAGUGGGGCUUUCUUCAUAGACUUCUGUUUGACUCGACUUUAUAACCUUUGGUGGAUAAUUAAAUUUCCAAUUUAAUGCAUUUUGUUGGAAGAAACUUCCUUGCGCUUCAUGUAUUUUUGUGUUUUAGCUAAAGCUUACUCUAUAUAUUUGGAGUUGUGAGCCAUGGCAAUUGCAACCAUGACUACUCCUCUUCCUAUUUCCUUAUUCCCUUUUCUUCUUCUCAUUCUCGCUAUCUGUUUUACCAUUUGUCAUGCCAAUUCCAACCUACUUUGCAUUCAGAGUGAGAGAGAAGCUCUUUUGAAAUUCAAGAAUCAUCUUAUUGAUCCUUCAAACAGGCUAUCGUCAUGGGUUGAAGGUGGGGAUUGCUGUGAAUGGACUGGUGUCGUCUGCCAUAACUCAACAGGCCACGUCAAACAACUGCACUUGGCCGCUCCUCUUUCAGAUCCUGAUGGCUUUGCAACAAAUGCUGAAAGGGAAGCUUACUACAAUUCCUGGCUAGGAGGCAAAAUAAAUCCUUCACUGCUGGAGUUGAAGCAUCUUAGUUCCCUGGACUUCAGCAAUAACAAUUUUAGCAGCAUACAUAUCCCGAAAUUUUUCGGUUUGCUGCAGAGUUUAACAUAUCUUAACCUCUCUCAAGCACAAUUUCAGGGAAUAAUUCCUCAUAACCUUGGGAAUCUCUCAAAGUUGCAGUAUCUUGAUCUUGGAGGAAAUGAUCUCAGAUCAAAAAGUCUUCAAUGGGUUUCUGGACUUUCUUCCUUGCAGUACCUUGAUUUGAGUUAUUUGCAUCUUUCUGAAGCAACUGAUUGGGUACAGGUAACAUUCAAACUUCCCUCUUUGUUAGAGUUGCACUUGUCAGUUUGUGGUUUAGAAGAUGAUCCAUCUUUCAACAGUAUUAAUUCUUCAAAAUCACUGGUUGUUCUUGAUCUUUCUUGGAACCGCUUUUCUUCAGUACCUAAGUGGAUAUUUAGUCUUCAUGGUCUUGUGUCCAUUGAUCUUAGUAACAAUGAUUUGGAAGGCCCAAUUCCAGCUUACUUUGGGAACAUCUCGUUUCUUGAAGUUCUUGAUCUUAGUGGGAAUGAUCUCAAUUCGUCCAUAUCCAAUUCCUUGUAUAGUUUAAACCGUCUUCAGUUCCUUAGUCUUGGCCAUAACCAGUUACAGGGAACAAUCUCGAGUGCCAUUGGAAACUUGAGCUCUGUUACUCACCUUGAUCUUUCAGAAAAUCAAUUAAAUGGUCAAAUUCCAUUGUCUAUAGGGCAGUUGUCAUCUUUGGAGGAGUUUGAAGUUUCAGAAAAUCAAUUAAAUGGUCAAAUUCCAUUGUCUAUAGGGGAGUUAUCAUCUCUGAAGUUGUUUGAUGUUUCAAGAAAUCAAUUAAACGGCCAAAUUCCCUUGUCUAUAGGGCAGUUGUCAUCUUUGGAGGAGUUUGAUGUUUCAGAAAAUCAAUUAAAUGGUCAAAUUCCGUUGUCUAUAGGGGAGUUAUCAUCUUUGAAGUUGUUUGAUGUUUCAGAAAAUCAAUUAAAUGGUACUUUUCCUCUAUCUUUUGGACGACUAGAAAGUUUGGAAACUCUGGAUUGUGGGUAUAAUCUAUUAGAAGGAGUUGUAUCAGAAACCCAUUUUUCUAAUCUCAAGAGAUUGACAACUCUAGCAGCAUCACACAAUCGGCUUAGAUUUGAACCAAACUCAAGCUGGAUUCCCCCAUUUCAAUGUGAAUGGAUCGAUUUGGGUCACUGGCAUCUUGGCCCAAAGUUUCCCCAGUGGCUAAAAUUCCAAAAGAAAUUGUCUUAUUUGGAUAUCUCCUAUGCAGGAAUUUCAGAUGUCAUGCCCACUUGGUUUUUCAACCAUCCCACUCAAUUUGAAUCUUUAAACCUUUCCUCGAAUCAACUUAGAGGAGAGAUUUCAUAUUUGAAUGUGAGAUACUGUGUUGAUUUGAGUUCAAACCGAUUCAUAGGCCCAUUGCCAAGAGUAUUCCCAACUUUACGAUUUCUAUUUUUAUCAAAUAAUUCAUUUUCGGGAUCUCUUUUUGAAUUGGUUUGUAAUACAUCAAGUUGGAAAUGGGUGGAAGUUCUUUACAUUGAUAAAAAUCUUAUCUCAGGAGAUAUUCCAGAUUGUUGGAAUCAUUGGCAGGGUUUGGUCCUUUUUUUAAAUUUGGGAAGCAACAAUUUGACCGGUAAAAUCCCACCUUCUUUAUGGCAUCUAAAUCUUAGAAUGCUAAACCUUCGAAACAAUACAAUGUUUGGAGAAUUGCCAUCCACAUUGCAAAAUUCUCCAAAUUUGGUUAUGUUAGAUCUUAGUGAAAAUCAUUUCAGUGGAAGUGUACCAGCAUGGAUUGGUGAUAAGCUCUCAAAUCUUGUGAUUCUAAGCCUUCGAUCAAAUAACUUUGAUGGACAUAUUCCUUAUAAAAUUUGUGAUCUUCAAUUUCUUCAAAACUUGGACCUUGCCCACAACAACAUUUCUGGAGUUAUUCCAAAAUGUUUUAAUAACUUAACAGCAAUGGCCACAACAAACAAAACCAAUAAUUCUGUUCUUCAGGAGUAUGUAUAUGCUGUCUCAUUAUUUUUGAACGCAUUAUUGGUGUUGAAAGGACGAGAGGAUGAAUAUGGUAGAACACUAAGUCUUGUUACGAGUAUUGGCAACAUGGAGAGAUCCCCAAAGAAAUUGCUAGUCUCGUUGGACUAUUGUCUUUAAAUUUUUCAGGGAAUCUCCUAACAGGAAAUAUACCAGACAGCAUUGGCAACAUGGAGUUAAUGGAAUCUCUUGAUUUGUCCAUGAAUCGACUAAAUGGUAAAAUCCCUCCAAGUUUCUCCAAUUUGAAUUUCUUGAAUCACUUCAAUGUGUCCUACAACAACUUGACAGGACAAAUCCCAACAAGCACUCAGCUUAAAAGCUUUGAAAACUUGUCUUACGUGGGCAAUCAUCUUUGCGGACCUCCUCUCACUAAGAACUGCACCUCAAAAGGUAUUCCAAUUGACGUUGCAAAUAAUGGAAGUAGCAGGGAAGGAAGUAAAGUGAAUUGGCUUUAUGUCAGCAUAGUUCUCGGCUUUGUAAUGGGAUUUUGGGGUGUAGUGGCUCCCUUGUUUUUCAUCAGGUCUUGGAGGCAUGCAUACUAUCGAAAGUUGGACUAUGUUGGUCGAAAGCUGUAUGUGUCUUGGGCUACUAUGGGUAUGUAGUUUGAUGGGAAAAAAACAUGUCUAAACAUGUUGGUCUAAAGUUGGUAUAAUUUACUGGAGAUUGGAUCAAAGUGUGUUUUGAGUAUGUAUGAAUAUGUUUUGUUGUAUUUCAAUAAUUUACAAUGAAAAUAAAUUUCAGCAAAAAAUGUUGUUUGAUAGAUUCCAUCAGUUGCUUAGCUUAAUAAUUGAGUAGACGUGGCAGCCAUAGAUCUGGUCUUCUUCCUCCUUGAUCCUUCAAAUUUGGAGUAACAAAAAUAGUAGUAAAUAGGAUUAGCCUAUUUUUUUCUGUCAUUUUCUACCGUUGCCAAUGGAUCUCAACAAAAAAAGAGUUCAGCUGUUGCUCUUCAUCCUUGGACUCACCUUUCUCAGUAAGACAGGUAACAACCUCAAAACGUUCUCGUUUUUGCAUAUGAUCUGGAAAAUAAAAGAAGUCGUAAAUGUUGGAAUUUAAAUCUCCAAGUUAAUUUCAAGUUUGCAAAAUUUAAUGUACUUGAUUGUUCUCUCUUCUUUGUUAACUUUUAUGGAUCAAAUUGGUAUACCUGUUUAGUGUUAUUUCGAUUUUUUAUUUUAAAGUAUAUAUUUAGAUUCAGCACAUUUAAACAUGAGAAUGAGCAUAGAAUCUUUCAAAAAUAUAUGAAACAAUUUUUAAAAGUUUUAAUAUAUAUACUCGUGUGAAAUACAUACCCGAAAAAAAUCCUUUCAAGUUAUCGAGAUUCCAUCCACCCCAGCCAUAUAGGGUGGUUUUUUAAUUGCUUUUAAAAAUUGAGUUUGAAGCAAGGUGAAUCGAGUUUUUAACAAGGGCUACGUGUAGCUAGGGGCAGGCACCUAGAAAAUUUUCUAUUUAUAUCUUUUAAAAUUUUUUAAAUUUUAAAUUAGUAAAAGUAAAAUUAUACUUUGGUCUCUUUAGAAAAUGAUAAAAUUUUGAUUUAAUCCUUUAAAAAUUAUAAAGAUAUAAGCUAUUAAAACGGUGAAAUUGUAUUUUUACUAUAGUAAAAACUACAAUUUAAUUUCGGAAUUUUCCUAAAAAAUAUUUCUGGCUUCGCCCUAAUUUUUAAAUAGAAAAUAAACCUGAGAUUGGGAUUUAUUCCAUAGACUUAGUUGAUUUCGAACUAGUGUUUUUAAGAAAAAAAUCUUAAUUAACAUUUUUAAAAUUAAUUUUAUUGUUACAAGACUAUCGAAGUGGAUAUAUUCCCAUUAAAUUUAAUAGAAUAAUUUUAGUGGCAAUAACUAUUUGACUUGAAUUUUUAAAUUAAAAAAAUAUAGGGAUUAAAUUUUUAAAAAUAAAAAUAAAAGACUAAAAUCUAAAUAUAUAAAAUGUAUAAUGAUUUAUAGCAUACUUUAACCUUUAAAUUUUUAUUUUAUAAUUUAAUAUAAAUAAAUAAUUAAUUUAAUAAGGAGGUCGGAAG
rnacentral:lncRNA from 1 species